UUUAGAGGUUUUUCACGGAGGAGAUGUUGUGGAUUCUGAUCAUACUUUUGAUGGUCAAGUGUUUUGGAACUUGUACUCGAAUUGAAUAUUGUACGGUGAGAUAAGUUGAUGUGUGUAUUAAUGGUAUUAUCUAAUAUAAACAUAGGAUUGGACAUAUAGUUGUGUCAAUGUAUUGUGUAAUUUAACUACCUCUAGAUAAUAUUAUCGUUUGUGUAAUGAUUGUAAUUGAUGUUUUGUUGGAGGAUCCUUUAGUAUGCUUAUAAAAAGGAUUCAAGUGUGUUGUAACGAGCAGAGCUCUUCUAAGUCUAGUCCAUAAAUAAAUAAAAGAGUUGACUAUAAUGUAAUAUUGUGGGGUCUUCUACUGUGUCUAUAAAAGGAUCCAAGUGUGUUGUAAUAUGAGUAGAGAUUCAUGAAUUUAGUCUAUAAAUAAAUUAAACAAGUGUUUUAUAUAGUCCUUUUAUGAACAUGUAUGGUCUCAUUUCCUUCAUAAAGCAAUGUAUAGCCGUUGUGACAAAAUCUUAUUACUCAAGUUUACUCAUGAAUCCUUUACACAAAUGUUACAAAUGUAUAAUAACAAAAUUGAAAAGUCAUUUUCACACGUUACAAAUAUAUACUAACAAAAUUGAAAUAACAUUAUUACAAAUUAGAACAAUAUGUAAUAACAAAAAAUAAAUAAAUAAACUCGAGGCUUGUAAAGUUAAUAGUUUAUUUAAAACAAAUUAGAACAAUAUGUUUUAUAUAUUACUGGUGAAGAUGAAGAAGAGAUUCGAAUAACAAGAAAUAACUUAUUAGUUCGCUUCCAGAUGAAAAAGCUUGGUCAGCUUAAGCACUUCCUUGGUCUAGAAGUUAUCGAAUAGAAGAAGGGAUAUUUCUUUACCAACAAAAUUAUGCCAAAGACUUGCUGAAGAAGUUUGAAAUGAUGGAAUGAAAACUAAUCUCAACUCCAUUGGAAGUAAAUGCAAAAUUGUGCACACACGAAGGUAGAGAUUUACAAUAUAGAACAAUGUAUCAACAAUUGGUAGGUAGUUUAAUCUACCUUAUGCUGAAUCAACCGAAUAUUUCAUAUGUCGUAGGUGUCAUGAGUUGGUAAAUGCAAAAUCCAAAGAAGCUUCACUUGGAAGUAGUUAUGUGAAUACUAAGAUAUGUGAAGAGUACAAACAAUUAUGGUUCAUUGUGCAAGAAAGAUGAAAUUACAAGCUGACUAGCUAUUGUGACGCUGACUACGCCGGAGAUCAUGAUACAAAAAGAUUAACUACUAGGUAUGUUUUCAGAAUUAGGUCUGGAGUAGUUUUUUAGUGUAGUAAGAGACAACCAACUGUAUCACUAUCAACCACAGAGGUAGAGUAUAAAACAACAAUGAUGACAUCUCAAAAAAGCACUUGGUUGAUGUAGUUGAUCAAGGAUCUACACCAACUAGUAGAUUAUGUAUGCAAUACCACUGUAUUGCGAUAAUCAAUCGAUAAUCAACUUGGGAGAAAAUCUAGUUUUCCAUGCAAGAACUAAGCAUGUAGAGGUCCAUUAUCACUUCAUCAGGGAAAAUGUCUUACAAGAUAAAGUUGAGAUGCGGUACGUCAAGACAAACAAUUAAGUUACGGAUUUUUUUUUUUAUAAAAAGUCUUUGUACCAUGAAGUUUAAAAAGUUUCGUCAGCAGCUCAAUAUGGAUCGAAUGAUGAAACUUGGUUUUGAGGGGGAGUGUUAAAAGUGCAACACCAAUUUUAUGAUCCAAUUAAAUAACAUUUGUCCAAAUCCAAGUUCAUAACUCAAUCCAUAGAAGACUUAAGAAUUGUGUAGAGAACAUGGGACAUUUCUAAUCUAAAAAUAUUUAAUGAUGAUGAAAAUAUCUUAUUUUAGAAAUCUCUUGAACGGUGAUAUUUAUAAAAUGUGAUUGUUAAAUUUUUAUAAUUUAAUGUUUUGUGUGGUUUGUAUUAGUUUUAGGAUACUAUAAAUACCGCUAAACUCUUUGUUGUAGGCAUCAAGAGAGGAGUGAAGAAUUAGUAGGAAGAAAGAAGAGUGAGCCGUGAGUAUCGUAGUGUUUUUCUUAUAAAAUAUCAAUAAAAUCCUUUAAUUUAGUAAAAUUCUUCUAUUUCUUAAAUAUUUUCAGUCUUAAGCAGCUUCGUCCUUCUUUCUCAACAAAAGCAUUCCAUUUAGUAUAUGAAAAGAAAGUUGUGAGUUUGUGAAGAGAGAAUAAUUAGAAUAUCUUUUGCAAUUGUUAUUUUCCCAAUUUUAAGUAACAGAGUUGCUUUCUCCUAGUAUAAGAGAGAUUGUAAUUGUUCUAUCCUUGUAUUCAAAGAAAAUUGUUAUAAUCCUCAUUUGAAUAGUGAAUUCUUUCUACUUUUGUUGUGGAUUUUUAACCCGGUUUAUUUGGAAUUUUUUCCACUUAAAAUUUGUGUGUCCCAUAUAUCUUCAUUUGUUCUUAAUAUCACUUUGGUUUCGGUCUGAUACGGUCCUUAAUUUCCUAAUAGAAAACAACCGAAACCAUCCAAUAACGAGAGUGAUCUCUGAAAGCUCCAUUGCAGAACAUGGAUAACCGCUGCUUCGGCCAUCUGUAUUAACUUUUACCCAGCCAUGCACUAUCGGGCAAAUUUUAGCAAAAUAUUGAAAAUGAGAGGUAUAACCAACUUGUAUUAGAUGAAAGGAGGAUGGGGUGUUUUCAUAUCGUAGCUCUGUCACGGCAUCGAUGUGAAGAAGAUGAGUUGGUCAUGUCUAAUUAACAAAAAAAAAAAAAAUCCUUUCUGCUAAUCCCAAUUUCAAAGCUUUCUUGUGUCGGACUUUAAUUCUAACUUUGUAAUAUCACACUUUCAAUGGUUAUUUUACCUUUAUAUUCACUAUUGACUUAUAGGGGUGAAAUGAAUAAUUAAAACUCUAUUAUGGAUAUAAAUAACAAAAAAGAAAUUUAUGUGUCGCGGAACUGGUACUCAUAUGAAAAUAACAUUUGACAAUAUCGAACCAUUGGAGCACUAAAUAAAUUAUAGCAUUAUAUAAAAGGGGAUUUGAAUACAUGCUCAUGUUAUGCCCUACGGACUUUCUUUUGUAUUUGUUGGCAAAAAUUUGCAGAUCGUAGAUAUUUGCCCCUAAGGUAACAAAACUGCAAAAGCAUUUCGUGGGUAACAAGUAGUCGGGCUUUUAUCUAGAAUAUCUUUAUUCUUCCAUACCAAUAAAUCACUUAGAUUUUAUGGGCUACGGAUGGAAAUUGUUAAAUUCAUUAUUUAUAGAGUUUGUAUUUUAUGGCAAGUCUAGUUAAAUUAGAAUUUUAUUUAUUGUAUAUUUUGUAAUAGUGAUUAAUUUAUUAAUUCCCUAAUUUAGUGAGAUUUCAAUUUAUUAAGAAUAUUUAUUUCCUAAUUUAAUUAGAUGGCUAACUUAAAAAGUCAAUUAAUGAUGUGAUUCUAUAAUUGGCGCAUGAGCUCUAUUUUGAGUAUGAAGUCAGUUCAAACAUGAAGUUUAUUAAAUGAUUUAGAUAUUUCUUGGAAGACAAGCAAUGUAAGAAAAUUAGAUUUAUUCCUAUUCAGAUUCAUAGGAAUUAUAAAAGAAAAUAAACUCUUAUUUGGAAAGAAUCAAAAUCUUUUAAGAGUUAUUAUUUUUGUGAAAUCCUAGUGCCUAUAUAAAGAGAGGUAUUUCACAAUUGAAGGUGUGCAACACGGAGCAUAAAGCAGGGACGCAAAAUUCGGCAUUCUCCCUAAAGAAUCCUAAUUUGGCACAUAAUAUUGUGUUGAUUUAUUUACUUAUCUUCUUUUCAUAUUUGUGUAGAGUCUAUGUGAAUUUUGGAUCACUAGACAUUAAAAAAUUAAAUAAUUGUUAUUGAUCACUUUGCGAAGUGCGUUAAGUAUCGUGGAUCAAGAGGGGUAGUAAUUAUUUAAGAAAAGCAAAUUCAGUCUGUACAAUGAUAAACUGUAAAUGAGAGUUUUAAGUUUGAUAAAUCUAUGGUUGUAACAUCUCAACUUAGUGAAUUACUUUUCAUCUGAGCUUGACCUCGUGGAUGUAGAAUUAAUUAAUCUGAAUCACGUAAAAAUCUCCGUACCAUUUAAUUUCUGUAAUUUAUUGUAUUUUUGAAAAAUUAAUAUUUUGAUGCGGAUAAACAAUAACCGUAAACAUUAACUAUAAACAAUAAGCGUAAACAAUAAUGAUGAAUAGUAAUGGUAAACAAUAUUUCCGAAAGUUAAUUAAGUUGUUAAUUUUAAAUUUUUAAUUACCUACAUCUAAAUUGCCUACAUUUAGUGCAAUUUUGAAAGGUAUUAAAUUGGCAGCGGACUUGGGGUUUCUUCCGCUACUGAUAGAGUCCGAUUCAGUUAAUGUCAUUAGUCUCAUCUCAGGAAAAAUUAACAGCCAAUUAGAGAUUGAUUGGCUAAUAUCUGAUAUUAAAAGUUUUAUUUGUAAGAAAAGUGUUUGCUAUAAGACACAUUCCCAGAUCCGGUAAUUCAGCAGCUCACAAAGCUGCAAAAAUGGCUCUUGAUCAUGCUGAGUCGCGCACAUGGUUACAGGAUGCGCCUCCUGACAUUGUACCUCUCUUGUAAUGUUAUGGUGUAAUCAAUGAAAAUUUUAUUGUAAAAAAAAAAAUCCUUUCAGAAAUUAAUAUAUACUAUUUUAAUGUGGAAAAUCCCUUCAGAAUUAGUUCGAUAAAUACAAUAUUCAUCCAGUUACCGCAGGCUAAUAAUGCUCAUCCUGGAUAACUCAUGUCGCUUUUUACAUAUGCUGUAAUCUAAUUGGUGUGAUUAUCUUUGUAGCCCUACCUUCUCACUUGGCCAGAAUCGAGGUUAUAUAUGGUCAUGCAAUUAUACAUGAAAAAAGAAUAUCUUUCCAGUAGUUCAUUUUCCCUUUCACAUAGAGCGUACUGAGGAUAUAUAUAUCGGAAACCUGAGAAAACUAAUGAGAUAUUUGAAGGUUAAAGGGGAAGCCGGCUCCGUUAUUAAAAGCAAACUUCUUUAUUUAUUUAUAGACUAGAGUCAAGGAGCUUCACCCGUUACACACUUGAAUCCUUUUUCUAGGCACCAUAAAGGAUCCCAACAAUUAUACAUUACAAGUCAUUACCUUUAUUUAUAGACCAGACACAAGGCGCUCUGCCCAUACAACAUACUUGGAACAUUUUUAAAGGCACACUAAAAGACCAUCCACAACAAAACAUUGAUUCGAUCAUUACACUGGAGGUCGCCUUUUCAUCGGAAAUUGAGAUUUACCUUACCAAGAGGUAAUAUCAACGUUACACAAAACAUGACAUAUAACAAUGUCUAAUCUUAUAUCUAGAUUAGAUUACACAGUACACACCAGCUUAAUUAUCUUACAGUAGUAUUCAAUUGGAAUACAAAUGCCAAUACACUUUACCAUCAAAAGUAUGAUCAGAAUCCAGAACAUUUCCAUGAGGUACCUCUAUAAGAUUAAUCUGCAAAACAAGAGAACCUCCUUCCUGCACAUGACGAUCUUUAUACAGUUCAUCUAAUUGAACCAUAGUUCUAAGGCCAUGAAUAGGACGAUUUUUAUCAAUAGGCCUAUAACCAUUAGUAUAACCAGAUGCAACAACAUCAAAAGAUACUUCAGCAUCCAUAUUAUUGGCGGCUGCAGGAGGCAGAUCUCCUCUCCAAGCAUCCUCGUUAGCUCUGGGAACAAAUAGGACGGCCCAGGAAACAAUAGGAGCCCAACUUCGACCAAACAAACCAAAAUCCAUCCUAUUCAAGUCCUUCAAAACACCAGGAUCUGCAUAACGCAGAAAAAAGUAGUCUGAUUUAAAACCUAUCAAUUUUCGCUGAUCACACGCCAUAUCUUCCGUGAUUAAUGAAAAAUAAGCGCUCAGAAUCAGAUCACUUGCCUCAGAAAUUAUUUUCGUUGCUCUGUCACUCUUUUUUCUGCUGCCGUCCAAAGACAUUUUCACGUCUAUUUAUGCAAGGGAGGAAUUCGAACACAAACAAAUCACAAAUAAUUAUUAAUUAAUUAUAAUAGGACUCUUAAUUAAUGCAUUCCAGCAUCUCCUUCUGCAACGUGUCUGGCGACGUGGUUUUGUCUUCGUCUGUGCUCCGCCUUUCAUUUCUUGGAUAUCUUCAUCAUAGGUAUUAGAGCCAAGUUAAGGUUAGGUAGAUGAUACAAGUCCUCUUCAAAAGGAUUUUGCUAGUAUUAGAGCCUAGUAAUGUAAGAUAUAAUCUCUCGUAAAAUUGUGGGCCUAAGUGGAACCUAUAACUAAAUUUGUAUGAGACUGUACCUUACAUUACACGCUUCCUUUAACAAUUGACACAUGUUAAUUAAUGCAUUCCAGCAUCUCCUUCUGCAACGUGUCUGGCGACGUGGUUUUGUCUUCGUCUGUGCUCCGCCUUUCAUUUCUUGGAUAUCUUCAUCAUAGGUGUUAGAGCCAAGUUAAGGUUAGGUAGAUGAUACAAGUCCUCUUCAAAAUAGCUCUCUGUCACAAGUGGUUCCGGUACGUAGAUCCACGUCUUCUUUUGCAGCGUGGUUUGGCCUUUUCAGUUCUUCUCAUUCUUUGAUUUCUUCGAAUAGUUAUCUACAUCGUGUUUACAGGUUGGGUAAGACUAAGGAUUGGGUUCGCACAGUUCUAAUAUUUUGAUUGGACCAUCCUGCAUCUAUCUCUUAUUUAGUUUAGCAUGACUUAUUUAACAUCAUAAAUAUUUAUUUAAUUUUAUAAUUUUUUAAAUAUUAAAUAAAUUAUUUUUUUAUUAGUAAAAUUUUAAAUUUUGAGUUUUUGAAAAUAGAUUGAAAAAUAUUUUUAAACUAUUAAAAUAUUAUUUAUUUAUUUAAUUAUUUUAUUUCAUUUACUUUAUAACAUAAAUUUAAAAAAAUUACCUAUUAAAAAAAUUUAUAAUUUCUUAAUAAAAACUCUUAUUGAUAGUCAAAUACCUUAAAGUUUUAGUAAAAGUUUGCUUGUAAAAGAUUUAUUAACAAAAGUUAUGCCGAAAUAAGUUUUAUUUGAAAAAUUAUAUCAAGGCUUGAUUUGGUAUCAAAAGAAAAUUAUCAUACACUUAUAUUUUUAUAUUAUCAUUUAAAACUGAAGAGAAGAGUAAAGAAAGAUCAAACCAGAGUGAAGAAGGGUUAACAUAAAAUGAAAGAAAAGCCUCGGGCAUUAUACUAUGAUUUGGGAGAAUGAUGCGUUAUUUAGUUUUGGUGGGUGUAAAAGGAAAACGAAGCUUAAUAAUAUGAGCUUAAAACUCAAUUAAAAUGAGUUUAAUGAAGGGUGGUUUUAGCAUUUUAAAGUGCGAUCAUAGUUAAUUUUAAUUUUUGUAAUUUAUUGAAUAAACUAUUUGCAAUGAAUUAAGAAAAGUAAUCAAUAAUUAUAACAAUAAAAGUAAUUAUUAUUGAAACGACCCACCUCGAACUUCAAGAGCAAAUCUAUCUAAUUUCUUUUAACGUGAUUAGUAAAACGUAUUUGCUAAAAUUUUCCAACAUGCAAAUCUGCAAAACAAACACUUUCAAAAUAAUUCAAUACACAACAAAAUUCAUUGAUCAACCUUCUCAACCAUGAUAUUGAAUAUCACCUAAACACUUAUAAAGUAUCAAAAGAUUAUAUUAUAGCUAAUGUCAACAUAUAUUAAACAUUCAUAAGCAUCAAAUCAUAAUACAAUUAUACAAUCCAAAAUGAGAUGAUCUAAAUGCCCUAAUAAUAUCAUUUAUAUCUUUUAGCACCAUCACGUGGCCAAAAUUCAAAAAUACUACAGUCGUUGGGUCGAUUAAUGUAUCCACAACCUUCUGUGGGGGAAAAGUAUAGUAAAAUGGGAUGAAUAUAAAACUCAAUGAGUGAAUAAUAACUUUUGAAAAUAAUAUAUUUUAAAAUAUUUAUAUAUUUUCAAUAUACUAUUUUCAUCAAACUAUAAGUAAGAACAUAGAUGAAUUAUUCGAACUUUAAAUCAAACAACUGUCGUUUUAAUUUUAAAGUGUGAUCGUAGUAAAUUUUUAUUUUGUUAAUUUAUUGAAUAAACUAUGUACAAUCAAUUAAGAAAAAUAAUCAAUAACUAUAACAAUGAAAGUAUUGAUUACUGCAACGACCCACCUCAAACUUUGAGGGCAAGUCUAUCUAAUUUCUUCUAACGUGAUUAGUAAAACUUAUUAAUGAGGAUUUUGCUAAAAGUUCAUCGACAGAGUCUCCCCCUAUAUUUAUAAAAUUUCUAACAUGCAAAUCUAAACACUCCCAAAAUAAUUCAAUACACAACUUGAAAUACUAACUAGGCAACCCAAGAGGGGGGGUGAAUUGAGAUUUUAUAAAUUAAGUUAAGCAAACACACAACAAUUCAAUCUAAUGCCUCAAUAAAUUCGAAAACAAUAAAUUCAAUGAAAGCACAAUAAUAAAUGAGCAAGGGAAGAGAAAGCAAACUCAAUGAUUUUUACGUGGUUCGGCAAUCCCCGCCUACGUCCACGCCUCUUAGCAUUUUCAUUUUUGAGCUCUACCAUUUUCUUUUUAAGACAUGCAUUCUUUUUACCAAUUUUCAUACACUCAUCAUGCAAUUCUUUAAAAGUAUCAUGUAAUUCAUCAUAAGUAGGAAGAUCAUUUACCUAAUCAAGUUCAUCAUUCGAUUCAUCUCCAAUUGCCAUAAGAGCUAGAUUUGUCAUUUCUUGAUGCUCUUCAUCAUCACUUGUUUCCUCCUCGCUAUCAUCCCAUGUGGCUACCAUCGCUUUCUUCUUGAGCUUGUUGAGAAGAGGGCAUUCCGAUCUUAUAUGGCCAGGUUUCUUGCACUCAUAACAUUUGAUUACUUCAUUCUUCUCCUUUUGGUUCUUGAGGUCUCUAAAUUUUCUUCGCUCACUGGAUUUCUUAAAAAAAUUUCUAAACUUCCUAGCCAGCAUAUCCAUCUCCUCCUCAUCCAGCUCGCUUUCCUCAUCACUCUCAUAUUUCGAGGCUUUGAGAGCAAUACUUUUCUUCUUCUCCUCAUUGCCUUUUUCGGCUGCCAAGUCUUCCUCAUAAGAAAUAAGAGAACCAACUAAAUCAUCAAUAGGUAAGAUAUUUAAAUCUUUGGCUUCCUCAAUGGCAGUCCUUUUUUGUCUCCAUUCCUUACAUAGCGACCUAAUAAUUUUCUUAACUUUCUCGCUAUUUGAAAAAGUCUUUCCUAUGGCUCCUAGAGUGUUCACUAUGUCCGUAAAUCUAGUAUACAUAUAAUACACACUCUCAUUUUGUUCCAUUUGGAACAAUUCAUAUUGUCGAGUGUACCUACUAAUUUUAGACUCUUUCACUUGAUUCGUGCCUUCAUAAACAACUUCAAGUUUGUGCCAAAUUUCAUUAGCACUCUCACAACUAGAUACUCUAUGAAAUUCUUUCUUAUCUAGUGCACAAAACAAGGCAUUCAUAGCUUUGGAAUUUAGAGUAGCUUUUCUCUUUUCUAAUUCAUUCCAUUCCCGUGAAGGUUUUGGAAUAUCUUCCCCGACUUCAUUUUUAGUCAAAGGCAUAAAAAGACCAUCACAAACAACUUCCCAAAUUUCAUAAUCAAGUGCUUGUAAAUAAAUUCUCAUCAUAGUUUUCCAAUACGGGUAGUCAUUUCCGUCAAAGAACGGUGGUUUAAUUGUGGACUGUCAUUCUCUAAAGGUUGAGUCAUUAUGGGUUGCCAUAGAUCUUUAACUCUAGACGGUUAAGUCUAAACAAGAGCACCUCGCUCUGAUACCAAAUGAAAUACUAACUAGGCAACCCAAGAGGGGGGUGAAUUGGGAUUUUAUAAAUUAAGCUAAAAAAACACACAACAAUCCAAUCUAAUGCCUUAAUAAAUUCGAAAACAAUAAAUUCAAUGAAAGCACAAUAAUAAAUGAGUAAGGGAAGAGAAAGCAAACUCAAUGAUUUUUACGUGGUUCGGCAAUCCCCGCCUACGUCCACGCCUCCAAGCACACCGGGUUUGAGGAUUUCACUAUUCGAGCCUUUCCAAUGCUUCAAUCGUUUACAAUUGACUUCAAGGUGUCAAUGAACCUUUAAAACAAGAGAUUAUCUCUCCAAUCUCUUCACCCCAAGUGUUUCUCACACUUGUACACUCACAAUUUGAUGAGAAAUAAAAAUUACAACAAUGAAACUCUCUUUAAGAGUGGAUAUACAAAUUGAAGAACAAAGAUGAUUUAAUAAAUGAUGAUUUACGAAAUUGAAGCUCAAUAUAUGUUGUGUGCACUUGUUUUUGCUUGCCAAGAUUACCAAAAAUGAAUUGGUUUUGAGUUUAUAUAGUUUGAGCUCAAAAACUAGUCGUUAUGCACUUUUUGGUCAUAACCGGCUUAUUGUUUAUGGAAUCCGGUUAGCCGCUUGUAUGUUACCGUUACAGCCAAAAUUUAAAUUUUUGAACAUCCAGUAUGCCGCUUAUAAAAUCCGGAUAGCCGUUUAUGCUCUAGAAGCUUACUGCCCAACAACCAUAUUACCGUUUGUCAGGAUCCGGUUAGCCGCUUUCAAUUCGGAUAGAUUCUGCCCAACAUCCGGCUUAUCGGUUUUUCACAUCCGGUUAGCCGCUUGCUACAGUGACUGCUACAGUGAACUAUUUUAUAAAAUUAUAGUUUAACCCCAAAACUUUCCAUAACUGUACUAGGGCCCAACACGUUAUAAAUUUGGCAAAUAGGUCCAAUUUCAGAAUCUCUAAAUAAUAUUUACUAUUCUCAAAACUUUUUAAAAUUAUGAUAUGGCCCAAAAUAAUAUGAAACUGUUCAAAUAAGUCCUUUUCUAAAAUUUCAAGUAAUACUUGUUGAUUUCAAAGUUUUUAAAAUUCUUUCAAUUAAACCAUAAACUUGAAAAGCAACCAAUUUCAUAAAAUCAUUUUUCUAUUAAAUAUGAAACCUUUAUAAUGAGAAAAUAAUGAUUUAUUUAAAAAGUAUAAAAAAUAAUUUGAACUUAAAAGAUUAAUCAUUCUUAAUCUUGUUUGUUAUCAUCAAAAUCAACAUUAUGGAAACAUAUAUGUUAACAAUCUCCUCAUUUUUUAUGAUGACAAACAUUUCAUGUAUUUAAAGAAUGAUUCCGCAAAUUGCUCCCCUAAAUAUAAUCUUCUCUUACAAUUUGCCAAUUAGCUAAAUUAACAGAUUUAAAUAUAUGGAUUUUUCUCCCCCUUUAUCAUUAAAAAGAAAACUUAAUUGGCAAAGAAAAAGAGUAGUAAAUUUUUAUAAAUUUAAAAAUAUGUAUUAUUCUCCCCCUUCAUCAUCAAAAAGAAAACUUAAAGGAAAAGAAUAAGAGUAGCAAAUUUAUUACUCAUGUUUGUCCAAGUAGAAAUUUCAACACAUUCUCCCCCUAACAACAAGCAUUACCUUAAAUAUAAGUUUAGUAAUAUUACUCCCAAAUUAUUAUAAAUCAUGAUACAAGCCAACUCCAUACACAAAUCAUCACACCAAAAUAUCAUGAACCAUUAUUCCAUUAAUUACCAUAUAAAACAACUAUGUAAUUAAUCAUCAUUAUCUCAAAAUCAUUAUCAUAAUCAAAUAUCAAUCAUUAAAAGAAUACUCAAAGUGUAUAUUAUUCUCCUCAUUUUAACAACAUCGAAAUGAUAUAUUACUUUGUCUCCCCCUUUGGACAAUAAAAAAGUUCAAAAUGCAUAUUAUUCAAAAUCAUAUUAUAUGAUCCCCCUAAAUAUAUGACCAAUUUAAAAUUUUAACCAAAAUAAUUUUAUCCCAAAACAUAUCAUAUUUGUCUCCCCCUAUCAAUCAUCAAAACCUCAAAUCAAGCACAUUAGUUCAAAAUUAUCCAAAACAUAAGUAAAGAACAUAACAUAUAACUAUAUCAAAUCCAUAUAAUUCAAAACAGACACAUAAUCCAAAAUCAUAGCAAACAUCCAUAUAAUCCAAAUGCAAAAUAAAAGAAAAAUAAAAUAGUAAAUGUUGGUGUGUUCAAAUACAAGUAUAAAGGAUUUGAAGUGAAAAAUGAUGAGAUUGAUGGAUUUUAGAGAGAUCUUGCGUGAGAGAGGAAGCGAUUUUUAGUGAGAGAGUAACCGAUUGACUGAAUGAAGGAGAAGAGGAUGAACAAAAUUUGAAUGCCCGAAUUUGGCUUACCGGAUUUCACUAACCGGUUAGCCAGUUGGGGUCCAGUGAGUGUACAACCUGAAUUCGGGUUUCCGGUUUACAUAACCGGUAAUUCGGUUAACUCCUGUGAUGAAUGGUCACGAAUCCGGUUAUCCGGAUAUUCCUAACAUGUUAAUCGGUUGGAGGCAGCAAGUAAGCAACGCGAAUCCGGUUUGCCGGAUCUCAUAACCAGCUAUCCGAUUGUGUCCAACAAGCAUCAAACUAAAUCCGAUUUUCCGGAUUUCAUAACCGGUUGACCGAUUCUUUCCAGAAACCAAAUUCUCUUCAAACGAGUUAUUGGUUUUCCAAUCCGGUUAUCCGAAAUAUGACUUAGAGAAUAAUCAAUAAAAAGGAUGGUUUUCCGGUUGAUUAAAAGAGGUUUAUCGGUUAAAAUAUAGAGAAUAUUUUUGAAGUUUAGUAAACUCUUAGACUUGUAUUACACACACCAAUUUAUUUUUAGCUUAAAAAUUGAUCAAUUUUUGAAUCAUUUUGAGAUUCAAAAUUUUUCAAUAAGUCAUUUAAUGCAUGAGACAUAAAUGUAUACAAGACCAAACAUAUGAAAUCGUAUCAAACAAUGAUGUCAAUUUUAUAAAUGAAUGAUGAUAUAAACACAAUUAAUGGCAUAUGAAUUCACACAUAUAUAAGAGAUGGACAAUGAUGAUAGACAAUUAAGAAGAUGAAAUCAAAGACCAUACAAUCAUCAAAAUCAAACAAAGACAUCAUGAUAAAUCACUCAAUGUUAUACACAAUGAUAAUUCCAUCAUGUAAACAUACAAGCAUACUUUCGCAAAUUCAUUUAACAUGAUUCAUUCAACAAAAUUAAUAUGGCAAGAAUUGUUACCAAAACAAUUAAAUCAUCUUGCCUCAUCUUUUUCUCCUAGAUCAUACUCAAGUGAUUAUCCUCACAAGCUUUCAUCAAGGAACUUCUCCACCAUUCCUUGAUUGUGGUACCUACAAAGAAAACAUUCACGUUGUGCCCUUUGGUACCCAAAUACUCUUGGGUCCUUGAGUGUUAGCAAUGGUUCCUUUUGGAACCCAAACACAUUUUACUCCAUAAUAUACUUUUCUUUUAAUAGGACAACCAAGCUUCAUGUGACCGUUUUGAUUACAAUAAUGACAUACAACUUGAUUGUUAAUAGAUGUACUCUUCACAAAGUAGUUCUUAUAAUACUUUUGUUUCAAAUUUGGCUUAUAACCAAGUUCUCCUUUAUCAAACACACAUUUUUGUGAAUUAAUCAAGUUAUCCAACAUCUUUUGUCCAUUUGUAAAUUUUAAAACAAUCUCAUUUAACUCAUUGCUCUUCUUCUUAAGCAUUUCAUUUUCCUUUUUCAAGUCAUCUAUGUGAUAUUCUAUAUGCUCAUGUGAAGUGCUAGGUUUCCCAUUUGAUAAUGCAACUCUAUCAUGCAAUGUUUUAUUCUCUAAUUCUAGGCAUGUAAUCUUUGCACAUAGAGAUUCAUUUUCAUUUUUGAGCUCUACCAUUUUCUUUUUAAGACAUGCAUUCUUUUUACCAAUUUUCAUCCACUCAUCAUGCAAUUCUUUAAAAGCAUCAUGUAAUUCAUCAUAAGUAGGAAAAUCAUUUACCUCAUCAAGUUCAUCAUCCGAUUCAUCUCCAAUUGCCAUAAGAGCUAGAUUUGUCAUUUCUUGAUGCUCUUCAUCAUCACUUGUUUCCUCCUCGCUAUCAUCCCAUGUGGCUACCAUCGCUUUCUUCUUGAGCUUGUUGAGAAGAGGGCAUUCCGAUCUUAUAUGGCCAGGUUUCUUGCACUCAUAACAUUUGAUUACUUCAUUCUUCUCCUUUUGGUUCUUGAGGUCUCUAAAUUUUCUUCGCUCACUAGAUUUCUUAAAAAAAUUUCUAAACUUCCUAUCCAGCAUAUCCAUCUCCUCCUCAUCCAGCUCGCUUUCCUCAUCACUCUCAUAUUUCGAGGCUUUGAGAGCAAUACUUUUCUUCUUCUCCUCAUUGCCUUUUUCGGCUGCCAAGUCUUCCUCAUAAGAAAUAAGAGAACCAACUAAAUCAUCAAUAGGUAAGAUAUUUAAAUCUUUGGCUUCCUCAAUGGCAGUCCUUUUUUGUCUCCAUUCCUUACAUAGCGACCUAAUAAUUUUCUUAACUUUCUCGCUAUUUGAAAAAGUCUUUCCUAUGGCUCCUAGAGUGUUCACUAUGUCCGUAAAUCUAGUAUACAUAUAAUACACACUCUCAUUUUGUUCCAUUUGGAACAAUUCAUAUUGUCGAGUGUACCUACUAAUUUUAGACUCUUUCACUUGAUUCGUGCCUUCAUAAACAACUUCAAGUUUGUGCCAAAUUUCAUUAGCACUCUCACAACUAGAUACUCUAUGAAAUUCUUUCUUAUCUAGUGCACAAAACAAGGCAUUCAUAGCUUUGGAAUUUAGAGUAGCUUUUCUCUUUUCUAAUUCAUUCCAUUCCCGUGAAGGUUUUGGAAUAUCUUCCCCGACUUCAUUUUUAGUCAAAGGCAUAAAAAGACCAUCACAAACAACUUCCCAAAUUUCAUAAUCAAGUGCUUGUAAAUAAAUUCUCAUCAUAGUUUUCCAAUACGGGUAGUCAUUUCCGUCAAAGAACGGUGGUUUAAUUGUGGACUGUCAUUCUCUAAAGGUUGAGUCAUUAUGGGUUGCCAUAGAUCUUUAACUCUAGACGGUUAAGUCUAAACAAGAGCACCUCGCUCUGAUACCAAAUGAAAUACUAACUAGGCAACCCAAGAGGGGGGUGAAUUGGGAUUUUAUAAAUUAAGCUAAAAAAACACACAACAAUCCAAUCUAAUGCCUUAAUAAAUUCGAAAACAAUAAAUUCAAUGAAAGCACAAUAAUAAAUGAGUAAGGGAAGAGAAAGCAAACUCAAUGAUUUUUACGUGGUUCGGCAAUCCCCGCCUACGUCCACGCCUCCAAGCACACCGGGUUUGAGGAUUUCACUAUUCGAGCCUUUCCAAUGCUUCAAUCGUUUACAAUUGACUUCAAGGUGUCAAUGAACCUUUAAAACAAGAGAUUAUCUCUCCAAUUUCUUCACCCCAAGUGUUUCUCACACUUGUACACUCACAAUUUGAUGAGAAAUAAAAAUUACAACAAUGAAACUCUCUUUAAGAGUGGAUAUACAAAUUGAAGAACAAAGAUGAUUUAAUAAAUGAUGAUUUACGAAAUUGAAGCUCAAUAUAUGUUGUGUGCACUUGUUUUUGCUUGCCAAGAUUACCAAAAAUGAAUUGGUUUUGAGUUUAUAUAGUUUGAGCUCAAAAACUAGUCGUUAUGCACUUUUUGGUCAUAACCGGCUUACUGUUUAUGAAAUCCGGUUAGCCGCUUGUAUGUUACUGUUACAACCAAAAUUUGAAUUUUUGAACAUCCGGUAUGCCGCUUAUGAAAUCCGGAUAGCCGUUUAUGCUCCAGAAGCUUACUGCCCAACAAUCGGAUUACCGUUUGUCAGGAUCCGGUUAGCCGCUUUCAAUUUGGAUAGAUUCUGCCCAACAUCCGGCUUACCGGUUUUUCACAUCCGGUUCGCCACUUGCUACAGUGACUGCUACAGUGAACUAUUUUAUAAAAUUAUAGUUUAGCCCCAAAACUUUUCAUAACUAUACUAGGGCCCAAAACGUUAUACAUUUGACAAAUAAGUCCAAUUUCAGAAUCUCUAAAUAAUACUUACUAAUCCCAAAACUUUUUUAAAAUUAUGAUAUGGCCCAAAAUGAUAUGAAACUUUUCAAAUAAGUCCUUUUCCAAAAUUUCAAGCAAUACUUGUUGAUUUCAAAGUUUUCAAAAUUCUUUCAAUUAAACCAUAAACUUGAAAAGCAACCAAUUUCAUAAAAUCAUUUUUCCACUAAAUAUGAAACCUUUAUAAUGAGAAAAUAAUAUUUAUUUAAAAAGUAUAAAAAAAUCAUUUGAGCUUAAAAGAUUAAUCAUUCUUAAUCUUGUUUGUUAUCAUCAAAAUCAACAUUAUGGAAACAUAUAUGUUAACACAACUAACUUCAUUGAUCAACCUCCUCAACCAUAAUACUGAAUAUCACCUAAACACUUCUAAAUUAUCAAAAGAUUAUAUUAGAGCUAAUGUCAACAUACAUUAAACAUUCAUAAUCAUCAAAUCAUAAUACAAUUAUACAAUCCAAAAUGAGAUGAUCUAAAUGCCCUAAUAAUAUCAUUUAUAUCUCCUAGCACCAUCACGUGGCCAAAAUUAAAAAAAAAAAAUACUACAAUCACUGGGUCGAUUGGUGUACCACAACCUUCUUCAGGGGGAAAGUAUAAUAAAAUGAAAUGAGUAUAAAACUCAAUGAGUGGAUAAUAGUUUUUGAAAAUAACAUAUUUUAAAAUAAUUAUUUCUUUUCAAUACACCAUUUUCAUCAAACUAUAAGUAAGAACAUAGAUGAAUUAUUCGGACUUUAAAUCAAACAACUGUCGUUAAAAGAAUACAUGAUAUUAUACAUAAUAUACAAGGAAAUCAUAUCAAAAUAUAAUAUAAAAUACUUGAUUAUGAAAUUGUCACUAAAUAGUACCUAAGUAAAUAAUCUUGUCAUUCUCGCACCUCUUAUCGAUGGUGAAAUGACGUACUAUCUGAGUACUAUCAUGUCCGGAGCUAGAACGAGUAGACCAAUGGCAUGCUAUCUCAUAUAUCUCAUCAUAUCUCCUUAUAUUUCAUGUAAAAAACAAUCCCUACAGGACAAAAACACCCAAGCACACAACCCAAAAUCUUUGUGUAUAUUCAGACGGGACCCAAAGAUCUCUAGCUCAAUUGUAAUCUCUACAACUGAAUCUAUAUCUCUGUAUCUGAAAAUGUAUCUAUAGGGGAGGAGUAUUGUCAAAUGAUUUUGAAAACAAACUCUUAUACACUUGUAGAUAAACAUAUAAUCAUACUUUAAACUUCAUUUCCUUUUUCAUUAACAUACUGUAAAUCUAUUUUUCUUUUCUUUAAAAUACUCUUAUGCGUUUACUCAACAUAGAGAAGCAAAAGUAAUCAUCAAAUACGCUUUAACAAUAUAUUAAUACAUAAAUAAAACUCAUUUAUAAAACCAUUAAAUCAAAACAUUAAACUCUUGUUUCAUAUGCAUGCGUUACUUUACUUAAUUUAAAAAUCAUAAUAAAUUAUAAAGAUGGGUUUAGUAUAUUCCAUUUGCAAUGAUGAUGCUCAAGCUCAACUAUUAUCGACAUCCGCAGAUUGACUCACGUUUAUGGCUCCUCUAAAUUGUGGAACGACAUAAUUACUUUUUUGAAUAUAUGAAAUACAACUAGCUUUAAGCAAGAUAGCUCUCAAUGAAUAUUUAUCCCACAAUGUACAACUCCCGAAACCAUACUUGUAAGAUAAAAAUGACCAUAAUAUACUCAAAGCCAUAAUUUACACCUUAUACCUAAAAUUCCAUACUCCUUAAAUUUUUCAUAUGUUAUAAUACUAAUAAAUCUUCCACAUUAUCAAAAAUCUCAUAAUUAACCAUAACCUACCUAAACAUGAUGCAUAACUAUAAGCUAUUUACAUACCGAAAUGAGGGAACGAUGAGGGCUACGCGUUUCUAGGUGUACAAUGCCUCAUUGGUGCCCUUGUGCAUCUAUAAUAAUCCACUAGUUACAAAACUUAGCUUCGGACAAUCUUUACCCAUUUGUUAGAAACCUUAACUAUAAAUAAAGUAUACAAAUCUUUAAAUUAACUUCAUUCCCAUGAGAUCCAACUUCGAAUAAAGAUAACAUGAUAGAAAUCUUACUUCCUUUGGUGAGAAAAACCAACUUGGAAGCUUGAAUCACUUCCUUCUCACUUAAAUCCCCUCUCUACACUUACAUUUAAAUUCCUCUUUAAUGGAUGUUUUCAAAAGAAUUUAGGGACGGAAACACUCUAGAAUAACUCUCCAUUCCAAGCUUUCCAAGAUCCAAACUCAAACUUUGAAAAAUUUCCCCAUUUUUCUCCUCUUUCCCAUUGCUCCUCUUCUCCUUUUCUUUUUUGCCUUUUUUUUUUCAAAUCAAUACAUAUAAAAUCCAAUGGAGACUAACGGGCUUUCAAGUAAGGGUGGAUGUUCAAAUUGGUAUUUGUUUUAUUCUUUAUUAAUCUGGCCUGGAUUUGAGAUUUUGGAACUAUAAGUGGCUGGUUACUGGGAAAUUUUUGAAAAUGAAAUUGUUGUAACCUAAAUUGGACCCAAACUGAAAUUGAGACCUAAAUUUUCAAACCGAACCAAUCCAAAGUUUGAUCCCAAAUAGAACCGAGUCGAACUAAAUUCGGUUCGGUUCUGUUUGGGUUCAUGUUUUGAACCUAAUUGGGUUGAAUACUCUAACCAGAUCAGGUUGUAACCUAACUGGAACUCGAACAACCCGAAUCGAAACCCGAUAUGCCCACCCCUAUUUUAAAGCCUACAGACCAAUGGAAGAAAUGGAAAGAAAAAAUAUGUUACAGUUAUUAACUUGAUUCUUGGGCAUUAUAAUCUCAAUAUUUAACAUGAUUUUGUUUCUCAUAUUAGUUUCUAUCUUCUGCGUUGAGACCUAGAGUCUUAUUUAUGUUGGCAUCUUGUAAGGGUUGGCAUUCUUAUUGAAUUGUAAUUCAUAAAUUGAAGGCUAUGUUAAUUGGGAGAUUUCUUAAUUUAGUUAUUUUCUUAAAAUUAGGAUUUAAGUCUUUUCAUUUUAAGGAUUUACUUAGAACACAAAGAGUCUAAUUUUGGAAGCAAAUCAAAAUUAAAAAAAAAAAAAAAAGGCUCUCUAUAACUUGUUAUAGAAGUUAUACAUUGAAGAUAGCUCAUCACAAGCAGAAAAAUAGAAUUUUAAGGUCGAUUGCUAUAAAUAGUAUUAGAUGAACAAUAUUAGUUAAUAGUGUCUAUUGAAACUAUUCAUUGAACUUUAAUCUUUAUAGGGUAAACGCUUAUUUAGUCCCUAUAUUUUCACUCAAAUAUAUGUUUAGUCUCACAUUAUAAAAUAUAUCUCAAAAUACUCAUAUAGUUAAAUAUGUUACACUCUUAACCUUUUUUAGUUUUAUGAUAACACCCUUCAAACAACAUUCUUGACAUGAAUUAAGGUAUCUAUAAAAAAAAGUUAAUUAGCAUCUUAACCAAUAAUUAAUUAUUAGCAAAUUAAUUAACAAAUACCACUGUGAAAGAACUAAUAUUUUUGUACUAUUGCAAGAAUCUUACUAAUAAUUAUUUAUAAAUAAAUUAAUAUUAGCCAACUUAAAACAAUGUUUAUUAAUAUCUUUACAACAAUUUUAAUAAUAAUUUUUUUAUAAAAAUUAAUUUACUAAAUUAAUUCUAAAAGUAAAAUAAUAAUAUAAAAGUUUGGAUAAAUUUUUAUGUUACUUUAAAGAUAAAUUUUGGUAAAUUAACAAUUUUUAUUGAUAUCCCAAGAAUAUUGUUGCAAGAGUGUUAUCAUAAAAAGAAAAAAAUUAAGGGUAACAAAUUAAGGGUAGGAAUGAAACAUAUUUGACCUCAUGGGUGUCUUGAGAUGUGUCUCUCUGUGUGUAACACUUAAAUCAAAAUAUAGGGAUUAAAUAAGUAUUUACCUAUUUUAUAUUCAUCCCACUCUUAGACAUACUUUUGGUGUGUUUCGGAUUGAGGUUGAGCAGCUGUAGCUUUUAAGCUACAACACUAAAGUGUUUGGUAAACACUAGCUGAUGUACCUUGAAAGUUAUGUUAAUAUGAUUUUUCACUUGUAUAAUAAAAAAUCUAUUAUAUCUUUAAUGAUUUUUUCAAAAUUAUUAUUUAAAAUUUAUAUUUACUAUAUAUUAUUGAUUUUUGUUUUAUAGUUACAGUUUUGUUUCCAUAGCAGUUGUAGCUUAAAAGUUAUAGCACCUCAAUCUCAAACAGGACCUUUGUUAAUUGGUCUCUCUUCGUUAAUUGGUCUCUUCCAAAAAAGAUGUUGUUUGGAGCAGUUAAGGAAUUUCAUAUCAAGGUUAUGAACAAGAAGACAAAUGGUUCUCGCAAAUUACAUAUGCCUUAGUUGACUGAGAUGGCGGCAAAAGUAAAUUUUCCUACAUAUUAAAAUACUAAAUGUGAUAUAAGAACCAACUAUAAGCAAGUUAAAUUGAUGAUUUGGUAUAAUUACAAUAAUUAUUAUUUUUAAUUGAUCUGUGGGUUGAAAUGACUAUAUAAUCAUUCUUAAGUGCGAGCAUCCAUUUUUUUUUGGGAAAAUGACAAACACACCCCCAACGUUUAGGCAAAGGGAUAAAAAACCUCCUAACGUUUUAAAAAAGACAUUUACACCCCAACUUAUUAUAAUUUUACCAUUAUACCCUUCUAGCAUAUAAAAAAAAUUAUUAGAUUAUCUAAUUUGUCUAUAUAUUGUUAAUAAAAUUAUAAAUAGAAAAAUUGGAUAUUAUUAAAAAAAUUAUAAAUAUACCCUCAUUGCCCAAAUCUUCUAUUUAAAUUUUUAUCAAUAACCAAUUUUCAAAAAAGACAUCUAUACACCUAAAAAAUUAUAAAUAAAUUAUAAUUUUAAAAAUAAAAUUGGUUAUUAAUAACCAAUUUUAUUUAAAAUUUAAACUUUUAUAUUUAACAAUUCUCCACAUGUCAAUCAUUUAAACCUGUACAUUUAUAACCAAUUUUCUAUGUUAUUUAUUAUGGUAUUAAUAACCAAUUUUAUUUUUAAAAUUAUAAUUUAUUUACAAUUUUUUUUAAGUGUGUAGAUGUCUUUUUUGAAAAUUGAUUAUUGAUAAAAAUUUAAAUAGAGGAAUGAUGCAAUGAGGGUAUAUUUAUAAUUUUAUUAACAAUAUAUAGACAAAUUGGAUAAUCUAAUAAUUUUUUUUAUAUGUUAGAAGGGUAUAAUGGUAAAAUUAUAAUAAAUUGGGGGUGUAAAUAUCUUUUUCAAAACGUUAGGGGGGCUUUUGUCCCUUUGCCUAAACGUUGGGAGUGUGUUUGUCCUUUUUCCUUUUUUUUUUUUAAUACGGAUACACUCUUAAACUGUAUAAUUAAAAAAGAUACGUUUUGAAAUAAAUUACAAUAUUGUACUGUUUAAAAGAAUUAAAAACUAACUCUCUUUAAUUUCACAACUUAAAAACGUAGCCAAAAGGAAAUUUUAGGGUGGCGGCAUUGAAAAAAAACACAUAUAUUGCUUAUCAAAUCUAAGAUUAAAAUUCGGAAUUAAAAUUUGAGACGGAUAUAAAAUAUCGUAUAAGUAAUUUAGGAUGCCAUAAAUUCAUACUGGUGUCUAGUUCUAAACUUUAUCUCCAGAUUUCAAACAUUCAUCGCUUUGUGGCCCCUAUUUUCUUUGUUUUUCUAACUUUCUUCCGGUGGCGGAGCCCACCAUUGGAAGAAGUUAAUUUUUUUUUUGACAUUUUUUUCAUUGUCUAGCCCACCACCUUGUUUGACUCUUCUCUGGAAAAAGUUACUUUUUUGGGUUUUUCAAUAUGCUAUAAUUUUUUUACAGCAUCAAUAAUAUUUUUAAUUGUGUAUCAUUAAAUUUAAUUAAUGAUAUAUUUAAUCAAUGGUAUAUAAUAUUUGUAGUAAAAAAAAAUAAUAAACGGUUAUUAAAUGUGUAAGGGGUGGAGAAUUUUAUAAAAUAACUAUGACCAUCCUUAGAGUUUGAAAUAAUUUCACUUAAAUAGCAUAUUUUAUUUAAAAUUAUUUUUCAAUCCUCCUUUAAAUUUGAAUUGUGAUAAUCUUUUUUAAAUAAAUCUUCCAAAAUCUAUUACCAUGAAGUAUAAAAUAUAAUGGUAGGUUAUUUAACACAAAUCAAAUAAAUAAGUUGCAAUUAUAAAAUUUAUAUAUGAUAUAAUAGUAAUAAAUAACACAACUAAGUACAUAUACUUAAGUAAAUGCAUAGUUACAUCAAUAAACUCAUUGUUGAGAUUGCUUGUAACAUAAAAAUUACUUGAUCACACAUGUUUUAAUAAAAUUUAAUAUCGUAUAUUAAAAUACUUAUUAUUUUAUAUAAUAUUAAGGGUCAUUGUAUAAUUAAUCAUGAAGUGUGUAUUAUUUUUAACACCCAUUUAACAUGCUUAUUCUCUGAACUUUAUAUUUAUCUUACAAUUAAUAUCCUUACAUGGUAGGAAUUUUAAGUUUUAUAAGCCUAUAUAUUUUCAUUUUAUUUUCAAAUAUCACUUUGUUAAUUUCAUAAAAGUUAAAUCUAAUAUAUAUUCCUAAUGAGCUUUAGUUUAUGAAUCGUGAAAGAUUAUUUUAUUGAUAUCAUUUGAUUGUAAUUAUAAAAUUUUAUGUUAUUAAGAGUCAUUACUUUUGUUAUGAUAAUUAAUUGUGACUAUAAAUAAAAUAUUGUCUCCAAUAAUAUUUACGCAGGAAAAAAAGUGAACGAAAAUCAUUUGUAUUUUUAGAUUUUUAUUGACAUGGUAGGAAAUUAUCUCAGCCUUAAAACAUUUAACUUUCACAAGCUUGUUUUCAUUUUAUUUUCAAAUGUCACUUUGUUAAUUUCAUAAAAAUUAAAUCUAACACAUAUUCCUAAUUAACUUUAGUUUAUGAAUUAUAAAAAAUUAUUUUAUUGUUAUUCUUUGAUAGUAAUUAUAAAAUUUUUAUGCUACGAAGAGUCAUUACUUUUAUUAUGAUAAUUAAUAGUGACAAUAAAUAAAAUAUUACAUCAAAUAAUAUUUAAUGGACAAAAUGAGGAAAAAAAAUCAUUGUAUAUUUUUAUAUUUCCAUUAUAAAGAUAUGGUUUGGGAUACUUUAACUUAAACUUUUGGCACACUAGUUGAGCAACUAAUAUCUCAUAAUCUAAUGGUUGAUAUUGAAAGUCAAAGCAACAUUUCAUAAUAUUAUAUCUUCCACCAUUGAAUUGCAUGAAAUAAAUAGUUUAAUUUUUUGAUAAAAAUUAAAAUCAAAAUAUUUCUCACUCUAUAGUUAUAUAGACAUAUAUAUUUUUCAAUAAUAAUUGGUGAAUAAAAUAUUUCUCAUUUGUUGUGACUCAUAUAGUAUUAUUAAUAAAACACAUAUAAAAUUGUUUAUUGCAAUGCUUUCUAUUAUCAUUAUUAUUUAGGUAUUAAUGGUUUGUAAUUAAAUUCAUACAAUACAAAUUAUUACAAGACUUUGUGUUAAAUAACCUACUUGAUAUUAUAUUUUAUACUUAAAGGUAACUGAUUUUGGAAGAUUUAUUUAAAAGAGAUUAUCAUAUUACAAAUUUAAAGGAGGGCUGAAAAGUAAUUUUAAAUAAAAUAUACUAUUUAAGUGAAAUUAUAUCAAACUCUAAGGGUAGUCACAAUUAUUUUACAAAAAUUAUCCACCUACUUGAACGGUUACCAUUAUUUUUUAGUACAAAUAUUAUAUACCAUUGAUUAGAUCUAAUGGUUCACAAUUAAUAAAUUAUUGAUGCUGUAAAAAAAUUUACAGCAUCAUAGAGGAACCCUGCUUUUCUAUAUUUUUUUCAAUGUCGAACCUGCCGAGCCCACCAACAUGUUCUCAUUUUUUUUUUUUUUUGGCAAACCCUUACAUACAUUUAAUGUAUCUUACACCAAACAAUGAAUGGACGCCACACCACUCACUGUGUGAGUGGUUAUAAUAUAUAUUAAGGCCAUGUUUGCUUGGGGGUUGAGAAGUGAGGAGAGGAAAAGAAUUUAAUUUUUUUUAUAUUUUCCAUUGUUUUGUUGGACUAAAUUUAAUGGAAUUGAAUUUUCAUUGAAAUUUAAUUUCCAUCAAUUUGAAGAAUUUGUAUUCCUUAUCAAUGACUAAGGAUAUCAAAUUUCUUAUCUAUUUAAACACAAAAAAUCUAAUAUUAUCCUCUAAACAAAAUCAAUUUUAAAUAAAUGAAAGUAUAAAUAAUUUAUAUUUAUUUUAUUAAAUUAAUAGGAUAAAUUUAUUUGAUAAAAGAAAAAACAGUAAAGUGACUCACCGGAAAGUCACCGAAGACACGCUGGAGUUUCGCCGAAGACGCGUUUUUCCAUCAAAACCGGUACCAAUAGAAUUCUCAUGAGCCGAUCUACAACUUUAUGGGGUUAGAAAUGCUAAUAUACAUUGUUAUUUACCUCAAGUCUUGUUUAAAUACUUGAGAAAAUUUUAACUCAACUAUAUAGUGUAUUUUCUUCAAAAUUAACAUUUCCAAUGAGUAAAUCGUCCAUUUUUUUUAUCAUUAUUAUGUAUUUAACACGAUGAAAAAUGGUAGUCAACUAUGGUCAACGGCGCCGGUCAAUGACGAUCAACAGAGGUCAAUGCGGCAGCUGUUCAUGCCCAAAUGCUGUAAUUUUUUAAAAUAAAUUUUUUUAUUUAAUUAAGUAAUUUUUAGAUUAAAUUAAUUCAUAGUUUAAUUAUGUUUUAAUUUAUUAACAAUAUUAACAUUAAAGAUAGUGGGUAUAUUUGUCCAAAUAAGAAAUAUGUAAUUUCUUUUUCUUUCAAAUUUUAUGUGAAACCAAAUAAUAACAAUUAAUUUUUGCACUCUUUUCCUCUUAUCUCAUCUCUAUUCCUCACAUUUUUUCUCCUUUCGUCUCCUCCCCUUUUUUAAAACAACACCACAUAAAUGUAUGUUAGAGGAAUCUUUUUUAUUUUAUUCAGCCUUUGAUUUCCUUUCAUCGGUGGGGUAGGUACUUUUAAAAAGAAAAUUAUACUUUAAAAAUAUUUUCAACAUUUAUUUUUAAUUAAAUAUUAUAUUAUCAAAUUACUCUUUAUGAAAUUUACCGUUAUAGACAAUCAAAAUUACUAGAUAAAAUUUUAUAAUUGUGUCAAAAAAAAUCGUUUUUUAAUUUUUUUUCAUUUUAAUUUUCUCCUCGACUUCACUGGUAAAUAUUUACUCUAAAAAAGGGUGGCUGUUAAAACAAAAAUAAAUAAAUAAUUGGGCAUUGGUUUGGAUAAGAUGGACAACAUUUAUUGGGACUCUAUAUCAUUGGGCGGUAGAACUUGGAGGUUGGACCGUUGCACUUUUAAUAAAUUAAUCUGUAAGCAGUUUUUUUUUUUUUAUUGGCUGAUAUAUAACAAUCAGAGCUCUACUAAUAUAAUCAGACGUCAAUCGGGUACUCUUCUCAAUAAUCAUAUUGUAGCACAGCUCGAAUAUCGACUCAUCGUUUAAAGCUGAAGGGAGAUCUACCAUCACUAUUAAUACCGGAGGGGAAUCAAUUCUACCCCAGUGUGGGGAGAAAAAAACAACGUCCAAGUUCUCAAUAAUUUUAGUGGGAACAAAAGUUCAGUUCAUGACCAUGAAAUUAAUCGGAGUUGUUCCGAUGGUUACCGCAAGAGUGUUGACGUUUGAAGAAAGAGAGCUUGGGCAAAAUAAAUUAAUUUUAGGGUAACUUUGGGAUUUUGAUGAGCGUGUAUAGUAAAAAAUUAUAUUUUAAAUUUGACAGUGUAUUGAGUAAAUGAGUGUCUAAAAUAAUAUUUAGAGUAUAAAUAAUCUCACCUAAAAAAAUUAUUUACUUUAAUAAAGACACAAUAAUUUACGUGAUUCGACUUAAAAUCUACAUUUACGAGCAAAAGCUAAAAAUAACUUCAUUAAUAAAUAAAAAUUUACCAAAUUAAGAAAAAAUACCCUCAAAACUCAAAAUCCCAAUAUACCCAAUUAAACCAUUAGUAGAACACUCAAAUAAAAACACUAUUCAAUUUCUCAAAUUACUUCCCUUAUAAUUACUUUCAACUUUCACACUUUAGGAUGAUCUUUAAAUGACAAACUGCCCCUCUGUCUAUGCCUCUAUGGGAGUGCGUGGCUCAACUAUCUCUCAAUUUUGGUAACUUGUCUAGUCCACCGAAUUCGGAACCCAAUCUUGUGCCGCCAUUUCUUAACAAGCUCUCCAAAUGCAUUAAAGUGUCAAGUAUUUCAAUAACCAACUCUCUACAUUUGUUGGCAAUUUUCAAUGUAUUUAAUUCACUUUUUUUGACUUUUCAACACACAGGAUGUGGAGAAAAAUAAUUAUGUUUUCGUUCUAUUUUUUUCAAUAGUUAGUAUGAUAAUCAGCCAAAUAUAUACAACAUACCAUUCUAUAACUCUGAUACUUUGUAAUAUAUACCAAUCAAGCCCCAAGUCUAAGACUGUCUCAUAAAACUAUUAAAAAAUUUGAACCUAAUACUUCAACGCAUCACUAAAAUGUUUUUUAAAUUAGAUUUUAUUACUUUUUAACGAGUCAUAUCAAUCAAUAAAUUUUAAAAGACUUUUUAAGUGAGUUUUUUUUUUUUUAUUGAAGAGAGAGAAAAGUGCUAUCUCAUUUGAAGGGUUUUUUAAAAUCUUAAAUUUAUUCUACUGUUUCUCAUAAUUUCAUGAAGAGAAAGAAGUAUCAUAUUUGCUAUUGUUUUUGUAGAGAAAUUUUUUGAUUAAAAUAAUAUAUUUAUACUUUUAUUUAAAGAAUCUUUUAAUUUUUUUCCACUCUUUCAUUUACAAUAUAUAGUAAAUAAAUAUUUAAAAAAAUUAAAUUUAGAAGAAUAUUUUAGUGAUCUUCUUAGAUCUACUUAGUGUCUGUUUGGUAUAAUUUAUGUAAUGCUCAUAAGUAUUUAUUUAGUCUCAUAAAUUCUUAUCAUAAUUUUUAUUACUAUUUAUUUUUUUUAGAGAUUUUAUAGUUUAAAUAAGUUAUUUUAUUUCUACUAGUAAAAUCUCAAAUUAGGAGUAGAGAUUGAAAUUUUUUUAAAUAUUAAAAUAUUCUCUACUAAUUUGACUUUUUUUCAUAACAUAACUUUAAAAACUUACCUAUUAAAAUAAUUUCAUAAAUUUUUAAUAAAAAUUCUUAUUAACAAUCAACAACAAAAAUUUUUUAAGUAAAAAUUUUGUUAUCAAAAACUUUAUUUAAAUAAAUUUUAUUUAAAAAAUUAUAUUAAACGGAGCCUUACCCUCGCGAAUCGCGAUACCAUAACUAUUUUGAAGAAAUCGAAGAAUGGAAAGAAUUAAAAAGGCAAAACCGCGUUGUAAAGGAGGACGUGGAUCAACGUACCGAGGCCACUAAUGACAAAUAGCUACACCUUUUGAAGUAGACUCCCAACGUCUACCUAACCUAAACGGGUACAGAGACCUUUUGUUUUUUUUUUACAAUAGGUACAGUUACGUAUGACUGAAGAAAUAAAAAUAAUAAUAAAAAGCAUAGGGUAGAAGAAAACAAAGCUACCCAUUGGCUUCGUGUUGCAACUCUGCAACAGAAUGUCAAAUCGACAAUGAAAUUUCUUUGUCCAUUUUUCACGUGCACAACCAUAAAAAAGAAAAAAAAAUAUCAAAAUUAUAUGCAUAUGCUGGUGGGUCCCUUUUCAAAUUUGACAAGAGGAUUUUAAUUUCUUGUGAAAUUUGUGUUACUUCAAAUCAUUUUAUAGAAAUUAGGGAUGGCAAUGGGGAGGGGAGGGGAGAGGACCAAUCUCCCCGUAUCCAUCUCUGAUAUUUUGCGUAUCUCUCCGUCUCCUCCCCAUCCCCAUCAUAAUUACUUGAGAGAAUCUCAUUCUCCUCCCCGAAUAAUAACAUGGGGAUUCCCGAGGGUCCCCGAUCUCCGAAUAACUAAUACAUAUUUUUUAUUUUUUAUUUUUAGUUAAUUCUAUUAAAAUAAAAAAUUCAAACAAAAGUAAAGUUCGAAAUAUAUUUUACAUUAACAUUGAUUCAUUAUAAAAGUCACAUGCAAAAUACAAAUUAUCAAAAUAAUUAUCUUUAUCAAUCUUCAUAAUCCUACAAUAAAAAGAAAAAGAAUUUACUUUUAUAUCAACAAUAAAAUAAAUGAAAUAAAUGUAGAUACUUAAUUAAUAUUUUUAAUAAAACAAAAUUAAAAUUAAAACAAAAUUUUUGGGCUAAUAGAAUCUAAAACUUUAAUUAGUUAAUUAGGCCUAAAAGUUGAAUAAUAUAAAUAUUUUAAUAUUUGUUACUUUUACCAAUAUUUAUAAUUUUAUAAUAUAAUUCAAAUUUUAUUAUUUAUUUACUAGUAAUUUUAAAAAAUAAAAUAAAAUUAAAAAUUAAAAGAGGGAAAUGGGGAGGGGAUGGGGAUUCCACUUCAUCCCCACCCGUUCCCCGAAUAAGAAACUUGGUAAAAAAAAUUCCCCAUCCCUUCCCCGUAUAAGAAAUUGGGUAUAGAAUUAUCCACGUACCCUCCCCAAAUGGAAAAAAUCCCCGAGAGUACCCGCCUCCGUGGGGAUUUUUACCAUCCCUAAAAUUCCAUUGGCUUCGUGUUGCAACUCUGCAAUAGAAUGUCAAAUCGAGAUUGAAAUUUCUUUGUCCAUUUUUCACAUGCACAACCAUAAAAAAGAAAAAAAAAAUAUCACAAUUGUAUGUAUAUGCAGGUGGGUCCCUUUUCAAAUUUGACAAGAGGAUUUUAAUUUCUUGUGGAAUGUGUUACUUCAAAUCAUUUUAUAGAAAUUAGGGAUGGCAAUGGGGAGGGGAGGGGAGGGGACCAAUCUCCCCGUACUCAUCCCCGAUAUUUUACGUAUGUCCCCGUCCCCUCCCCAUCCCCGUCAUAAUUACUUGAGAGAAUCUUCAUCCCCUCUCCAAAUAAUAACAGGGGAUCCCCGAGGGUCCCCGAUCUCCGAAUAAUUAAUAUAUAUAUAUAUAUUAUUUUUUAUUUUGAGUUAAUUAUAUUAAAAUAAAAAAUUCAAACAAAAGUAAAGUUCGAAAUAUAUUUUACAUUAACAUUGAUCCAUUAUAAAAGUCACAUGCAAAAUACAAAUUAUCAAAAUAAUUAUCUUUGUCAAUCAUCAUAAUCCUACAAUAAAAAGAAAAAGAAUUUACUUUUUUAUCGACAAUAAAAUAAAUGAAAUAAAUGUAGAUACUUAAUUAAUAUUUUUAAUAAAACAAAAUUAAAAUUAAAACAAAAUUUUUAGACUAAUAGAAUCUACCCGACCUUUUUAAUGUCCUAAAUAAAAAUUUAAGACUUUAAUUAGUUAAUUAGGCCUAGAAGUUUAAUAAUAUAAAUAUUUUAAUAUUUGUUACUUUACCAAUAUUUAUAAUUUUAUAAUAUAAUUCAAAUUUUAUUAUUUAUUUACUAGUAAUUUUAAAAAAAUAAAAAUUAAAUUAAAUUUUAAAAUAAAAAUUAAAAUGGGGAAAUGAGGAGGGGAUGGGGAUUCCACCUCAUCCCCGCCCCUUCCCCGAAUAAGAAAUUGGGUAUAGAAUUAUCCCCGUACCCACCCCGAAUGGGAAAAAUCCCCGAGAGUACCCAUCCCCUAAUGGGAAAUUGGGUAUAGAAUUUAUUCUACUUUUUCUCAUAAUUUCAUGAAGAGAAAGAAGUAUCAUAUUUGCUAUUGUUUUUGUAGAGAAAUUUUUUUGAUUAAAAUAAUAUAUUUAUACUUUUAUUUAAAGAAUCUUUUAAUUUUUUUUCCACUCUUUCAUUUACAAUAUAUAAAAGUAAAUAAAUAUUUAAAGAAUUAAAUUUAGAAGAAUAUUUUAGUGAUCCUCUUAGAUUUACUUAGUGUCUGUUUGGUAUAAUUUAUGUAAUGCUCAUAAGUAUUUAUUUAGUCUCAUAAAUUCUUAUCAUAAUUUUUGUUACUGUUUAUUUUUUUUAGAGAUUUUACAGUUUAAAUAAGUUAUUUUAUUUCUACUAGUAAAAUCUCAAAUUAGGCGUAGAGAUUGAAUUUUUUUUUUAAAUAUUAAAAUAUCUAAAAUAUUCUCUACUUAUUUGAUAUUCUUUUCAUAACAUAACUUUAAAAACUUACCUAUUAAAAUAAUUUCAUAAAUUUUUAAUAAAUUUUUUUAUUAACAAUCAACAACAAAAAUUUUUUUAAAUAAAAAUUUUAUUUAUAAAAAUUUUGUUAUCGAAAACUUUAUUUAAAUAAAUUUUAUUUAAAAAAUUAUAUUAAACGGAGCCUUACCUCGCGAAUCGCGAUACCACAAUUAUUUUGAAGAAAUCGAAGAAUGGAAAGAAUUGAAAAGGCAAAACCGUGUUGUAAAAGAGGACGUGGAUCAACGUACCGAGGCCACUAAUGACAAAUAGCUACACCUUUUGAAGUAGACUCCCAGCGUCUACCUAACCUAAACGGGUACAGAGACCUUUUGUUUUUUUUUUUUUACAAUAGGUACAGUUACGUAUGACUGAAGAAAUAAAAAAAAAAAAAAUGAAAAGCAUAGGGUAGAAGAAAACAAAGCUACCCAUUGGCUUCGUGUUGCAACUCUGCAACAGAAUGUCAAAUCGACAAUGAAAUUUCUUUGUCCAUUUUUCACAUGCACAGCCAUAAAAAAGAAAAAAAUAUAUCACAAUUGUAUGUAUAUGUUGGUGGGUCCCUUUUCAAUUUUGACAAGAGGAUUUUAAUUUUUUGUGAAAUUUGUAUUACUUCAAAUCAUUUUAUAGAAAUUAGGGAUGGCAAUGGGGAGGGGAGGGGAGGGGAGGGGACCAAUCUCUCCGUAUCUAUCCCUGAUUUUUUUCGUAUGUCACCGUCCCCUCCCCAUCCUCAUCAUAAUUACUUGAGAGAAUCUCCUUUCUCUUCCCGAAUAAUAACAUAGGGAUUCCCGAGGGUCCCCGAUCCCCGAUCCCCGAAUAACUAAUACAUAUUUUUUAUUUUUUAUUUUUAGUUAAUUCUAUUAAAAUAAAAAAUUCAAACAAAAGUAAAGUUCGAAAUAUAUUUUACAUUAACAUUGAUCCAUUAUAAAAGUCACAUGCAAAAUACAAAUUAUCAAAAUAAUUAUUUUUGUCAAUCUUCAUAAUCCUACAAUAAAAAGAAAAAGAAUUUACUUUUAUAUCGACAAUAAAAUAAAUGAAAUAAAUGUAGAUACUUAAUUAAUAUUUUUAAUAAAAUAAAAUUAAUAUUAAAACAAAAUUUUUGGGCUAAUAGAAUCUAUCCGACCUUUUUAAUGUCUUAAAUAAAACUUUAGGACUUUAAUUAGUUAAUUAGGCCUAGAAGUUUAAUAAUAUAAAUAUUUUAAUAUUUGUUACUUUUACCAAUAGUUAUAAUUUUAUAAUAUAAUUCAAAUUUUAUUAUUUAUUUACUAGUAAUUUUAAAAAAUAAAAAUAAAAUUAAAAAUUAAAAUGGGGAAAUGAGGAGGGGAUGGGGAUUCCACCUCAUCCCCGCUCCUUCCCCGAAUAAGAAAUUGGGUAAAAAAAUUUUCACAUCCCUUCCCCGAAUAAGAAAUUGGGUAUAGAAUUAUCCUCGUACUCUCCCCGAAUGGAAAAAAUUCCCGAGAGUACCCGUCACCGAAUAAGAAAUUGAGUAUAGAAUUUAUUCUACUUUUUCUCAUAAUUUCAUGAAGAGAAAGAAGUAUCAUAUUUGCUAUUAUUUUUGUCGAGAAAUUUUUUUUGAUUAAAAUAAUAUAUUUAUACUUUUAUUUAAAGAAUCUUUUAAUUUUUUUCCACUCUUUCAUUUACAAUAUAUAAAAGUAAAUAAAUAUUUAAAGAAUUAAAUUUAGAAGAAUAUUUUAGUGAUCCUCUUAGAUUUACUUAGUGUCUGUUUGGUAUAAUUUAUGUAAUUUUCAUAAGUAUUUAUUUAAUUUCAUAAAUUCUUAUCAUAAUUUUUGUUACUGUUUAUUUUUUUUAGAGAUUUUACAGUUUAAAUAAGUUAUUUUAUUUCUACUAGUAAAAUCUCAAAUUAGGAGUAGAGAUUGAAUUUUUUUUAAAUAUUAAAAUAUCUAAAAUAUUCCGUACUUAUUUGACAUUCUUUUCAUAACAUAACUUUAAAAAUUUACCGAUUAAAAUAAUUUUAUAAAUUUUUAAUAAAUUUUUUUAUUAACAAUCAACAACUAAAAUUUUUUAAGUAAAAAUUUUAUUUAUAAAAAUUUUGUUAUCGAAAACUUUAUUUAAAUAAAUUUUAUUUAAAAAAUUAUAUUAAACGGAGUCUUACCUCGCGAAUCGUGAUACCACAACUAUUUUGAAGAAAUCGAAGAAUGGAAAGAAUUGAAAAGGCAAAACCGCAUUGUAAAAGAGGACGUGGAUCAACGUACCGAGGCCACUAAUGACAAAUAACUACACAUUUUGAAGUAGACUCUCAGUAUCUACCUAACCUAAACAGGUACAAAAAUCUUUUAUUUUUUUGAUCUCACUACGUUACGUUUAACAUAACAUACAUUCACACACAACAACAAUUUUCAUAAUAAGAUCCAUAACUAUUACUAUAUGUGACAAUUAUUACUAUGUGUGACGUAGCCUUAUUUUUUUUAACAAUAGGUGCAGAUACGUACGAAUGCAUUAAUUAAUGAAAAGCAGAGGGUAGAAGAAAACAAAGCUACGUCGGCAGACACGUUGCAGUAGGGAUUCUGGAAUGCAUUAAUUAAGGGGCCUUAAGUAUUCAAUAGUCAAAGAAAUGAGAAGGCAGAGCGUAGAAGAAAACAAAGCCACGUCGCCAGACACGUUGCUGAAGGGAUUAUGGAAUGCAUUAAUUAAGGGGUCUUAAAUAUUAAGUAGUGACAUCCUUUUUGUGUUUUUCCAUAAGAAGAUGCUGGAAUGCAUUAAUUAAGAGGCCCACUGUGAUUAAUUCAUAACUACUAGUAAUUUGUUUGUAUUCGAGUUGCUCCUUUGUAUAACUAGACGUGAAAAUGAGUGAUUGGUGGGGCGGUGGAGUCGAGGGUGCUAAGAGCAACAAAAACAAAUUCUGAAGCAAUUGUUCUGACUCUUGAGUGCUUAUAUUUAUUUCAUUAAUCUCGGAAGAUAUGGCGUCUCAUAAGGUGCCUGGUAAUCGCAAAUUGAUAGGUUCUAAAUCAGAAUACUAUUUUAUGCUUUAUGCAGGUACUGAAGAAGUGAAGAGCUACGACCGGAUUGAUUUUGGUAUGUUUGGUCGGAGUUGGGCUCCCAUUGUUUCUUGGGCCGUGAUAGUUGUUCCCCACGAGCCGGAGAGUAAUUGGAGAAAAAAUUUACCUCCUCCAAGUGUCAAUAAUAUGGACCCCGCUAGCUCGCUUUGUGUUAUUACAUCUGGUUCUUCUAAUGGUUAUAAGCCUAUAGGUGAUGAUAAAAAGGAUCGUCCUUUUCAUGGCGUUAGAACUACAGUUCCAUUGAACAAAUUGAAAUAUGAUCGUGAAGUGUUGCGCGGAGGUUCUCUUGUUUUGGAGAUUAAUCUUUUAGAGGUUUUUCACGGAGGAGAUGUUGUGGAUUCUGAUCAUACUUUUGAUGGUCAAGUGUUUUGGAACUUGUACUCGAAUUGAAUAUUGUACGGUGAGAUAAGUUGAUGUGUGUAUUAAUGGUAUUAUCUAAUAUAAACAUAGGAUUGGACAUAUAGUUGUGUCAAUGUAUUGUGUAAUUUAACUACCUCUAGAUAAUAUUAUCGUUUGUGUAAUGAUUGUAAUUGAUGUUUUGUUGGAGGAUCCUUUAGUAUGCUUAUAAAAAGGAUUCAAGUGUGUUGUAACGAGCAGAGCUCUUCUAAGUCUAGUCCAUAAAUAAAUAAAAGAGUUGACUAUAAUGUAAUAUUGUGGGGUCUUCUACUGUGUCUAUAAAAGGAUCCAAGUGUGUUGUAAUAUGAGUAGAGAUUCAUGAAUUUAGUCUAUAAAUAAAUUAAACAAGUGUUUUAUAUAGUCCUUUUAUGAACAUGUAUGGUCUCAUUUCCUUCAUAAAGCAAUGUAUAGCCGUUGUGACAAAAUCUUAUUACUCAAGUUUACUCAUGAAUCCUUUACACAAAUGUUACAAAUGUAUAAUAACAAAAUUGAAAAGUCAUUUUCACACGUUACAAAUAUAUACUAACAAAAUUGAAAUAACAUUAUUACAAAUUAGAACAAUAUGUAAUAACAAAAAAUAAAUAAAUAAACUCGAGGCUUGUAAAGUUAAUAGUUUAUUUAAAAAAAAUUAGAACAAUAUGUUUUAUAUAUUACUGGUGAAGAUGAAGAAGAGAUUCGAAUAACAAGAAAUAACUUAUUAGUUCGCUUCUAGAUGAAAAAGCUUGGUUAGCUUAAGCACUUCCUUGGUCUAGAAGUUAUCGAAUAGAAGAAGGGAUAUUUCUUUACCAACAAAAUUAUGCCAAAGACUUGCUGAAGAAGUUUGAAAUGAUGGAAUGAAAACUAAUCUCAACUCCAUUGGAAGUAAAUGCAAAAUUGUGCACACACGAAGGCAGAGAUUUACAAUAUAGAACAAUGUAUCAACAAUUGGUAGGUAGUUUAAUCUACCUUAUGCUGAAUCAACCGAAUAUUUCAUAUGUCGUAGGUGUCAUGAGUUGGUAAAUGCAAAAUCCAAAGAAGCUUCACUUGGAAGUAGUUCUGUGAAUACUAAGAUAUGUGAAGAGUACAAACAAUUAUGGUUCAUUGUGCAAGAAAGAUGAAAUUACAAGCUGACUAGCUAUUGUGACGCUGACUACGCCGGAGAUCAUGAUACAAAAAGAUUAACUACUAGGUAUGUUUUCAGAAUUAGGUCUAGAGUAGUUUUUUAGUGUAGUAAGAGACAACCAACUGUAUCACUAUCAACCACAGAGGCAGAGUAUAAAACAACAGUGAUGACAUCUCAAAAAAGCACUUGGUUGAUGUAGUUGAUCAAGGAUCUACACCAACUAGUAGAUUAUGUAUGCAAUACCACUGUAUUGCGAUAAUCAAUCGAUAAUCAACUUGGUAGAAAAUCUAGUUUUCCAUGCAAGAACUAAGCAUGUAGAGGUCCAUUAUCACUUCAUCAGGGAAAAUGUCUUACAAGAUAAAGUUGAGAUGCGGUACGUCAAGACAAACAAUUAAGUUACGGAUUUUUUUUUUUAUAAAAAGUCUUUGUACCAUGAAGUUUAAAAAGUUUCGUCAGCAGCUCAAUAUGGAUCGAAUGAUGAAACUUGGUUUUGAGGGGGAGUGUUAAAAGUGCAACACCAAUUUUAUGAUCCAAUUAAAUAACAUUUGUCCAAAUCCAAGUUCAUAACUCAAUCCAUAGAAGACUUAAGAAUUGUGUAGAGAACAUGGGACAUUUCUAAUCUAAAAAUAUUUAAUGAUGAUGAAAAUAUCUUAUUUUAGAAAUCUCUUGAACGGUGAUAUUUAUAAAAUGUGAUUGUUAAAUUUUUAUAAUUUAAUGUUUUGUGUGGUUUGUAUUAGUUUUAGGAUACUAUAAAUACCGCUAAACUCUUUGUUGUAGGCAUCAAGAGAGGAGUGAAGAAUUAGUAGGAAGAAAGAAGAGUGAGCCGUGAGUAUCGUAGUGUUUUUCUUAUAAAAUAUCAAUAAAAUCCUUUAAUUUAGUAAAAUACUUCUAUUUCUUAAAUAUUUUCAGUCUUAAGCAGCUUCGUCCUUCUUUCUCAACAAAAGCAUUCCAUUUAGUAUAUGAAAAGAAAGUUGUGAGUUUGUGAAGAGAGAAUAAUUAGAAUAUCUUUUGCAAUUGUUAUUUUCCCAAUUUUAAGUAACAGAGUUGCUUUCUCCUAGUAUAAGAGAGAUUGUAAUUGUUCUAUCCUUGUAUUCAAAGAAAAUUGUUAUAAUCCUCAUUUGAAUAGUGAAUUCUUUCUACUUUUGUUGUGGAUUUUUAACCCGGUUUAUUUGGAAUUUUUUCCACUUAAAAUUUGUGUGUCCCAUAUAUCUUCAUUUGUUCUUAAUAUCACUUUGGUUUCGGUCUGAUACGGUCCUUAAUUUCCUAAUAGAAAACAACCGAAACCAUCCAAUAACGAGAGUGAUCUCUGAAAGCUCCAUUGCAGAACAUGGAUAACCGCUGCUUCGGCCAUCUGUAUUAACUUUUACCCAGCCAUGCACUAUCGGGCAAAUUUUAGCAAAAUAUUGAAAAUGAGAGGUAUAACCAACUUGUAUUAGAUGAAAGGAGGAUGGGGUGUUUUCAUAUCGUAGCUCUGUCACGGCAUCGAUGUGAAGAAGAUGAGUUGGUCAUGUCUAAUUAACAAAAAAAAAAAAAAUCCUUUCUGCUAAUCCCAAUUUCAAAGCUUUCUUGUGUCGGACUUUAAUUCUAACUUUGUAAUAUCACACUUUCAAUGGUUAUUUUACCUUUAUAUUCACUAUUGACUUAUAGGGGUGAAAUGAAUAAUUAAAACUCUAUUAUGGAUAUAAAUAACAAAAAAGAAAUUUAUGUGUCGCGGAACUGGUACUCAUAUGAAAAUAACAUUUGACAAUAUCGAACCAUUGGAGCACUAAAUAAAUUAUAGCAUUAUAUAAAAGGGGAUUUGAAUACAUGCUCAUGUUAUGCCCUACGGACUUUCUUUUGUAUUUGUUGGCAAAAAUUUGCAGAUCGUAGAUAUUUGCCCCUAAGGUAACAAAACUGCAAAAGCAUUUCGUGGGUAACAAGUACUCGGGCUUUUAUCUAGAAUAUCUUUAUUCUUCCAUACCAAUAAAUCACUUAGAUUUUAUGGGCUACGGAUGGAAAUUGUUAAAUUCAUUAUUUAUAGAGUUUGUAUUUUAUAGCAAGUCUAGUUAAAUUGGAAUUUUAUUUAUUGUAUAUUUUGUAAUAGUGAUUAAUUUAUUAAUUCCCUAAUUUAGUGAGAUUUCAAUUUAUUAAGAAUAUUUAUUUCCUAAUUUAAUUAGAUGGCUAACUUAAAAAGUCAAUUAAUGAUGUGAUUCUAUAAUUGGCGCAUGAGCUCUAUUUUGAGUAUGAAGUCAGUUCAAACAUGAAGUUUAUUAAAUGAUUUAGAUAUUUCUUGGGAGACAAGCAAUGUAAGAAAAUUAGAUUUAUUCCUAUUCAGAUUCAUAGGAAUUAUAAAAGAAAAUAAACUCUUAUUUGGAAAGAAUCAAAAUCUUUUAAGAGUUAUUAUUUUUGUGAAAUCCUAGUGCCUAUAUAAAGAGAGGUAUUUCACAAUUGAAGGUGUGCAACACGGAGCACAAAGCAGGGAAGCAAAAUUCGGCAUUCUCCCUAAAGAAUCCUAAUUUGGCACAUAAUAUUGUGUUGAUUUAUUUACUUAUCUUCUUUUCAUAUUUGUGUAGAGUCUAUGUGAAUUUUGGAUCACUAGACAUUAAAAAAUUAAAUAAUUGUUAUUGAUCACUUUGCGAAGUGCGUUAAGUAUCGUGGAUCAAGAGGGGUAGUAAUUAUUUAAGAGAAGCAAAUUCAGUCUGUACAAUGAUAAAAUGUAAAUGAGAGUUUUAAGUUUGAUAAAUCUAUGGUUGUAACAUCUCAACUUAGUGAAUUACUUUUCAUCUGAGCUUGACCUCGUGGAUGUAGAAUUAAUUAAUCUGAAUCACGUAAAAAUCUCCGUACCAUUUAAUUUCUGUAAUUUAUUGUAUUUUUGAAAAAUUAAUAUUUUGAUGCGGAUAAACAAUAACCGUAAACAUUAACUAUAAACAAUAAGCGUAAACAAUAAUGAUGAAUAGUAAUGGUAAACAAUAUUUCCGAAAGUUAAUUAAGUUGUUAAUUUUAAAUUUUUAAUUACCUACAUCUAAAUUGCCUACAUUUAGUGCAAUUUUGAAAGGUAUUAAAUUGGCAGCGGACUUGGGGUUUCUUCCGCUACUGAUAGAGUCCGAUUCAGUUAAUGUCAUUAGUCUCAUCUCAGGAAAAAUUAACAGCCAAUUAGAGAUUGAUUGGCUAAUAUCUGAUAUUAAAAGUUUUAUUUGUAAGAAAAGUGUUUGCUAUAAGACACAUUCCCAGAUCCGGUAAUUCAGCAGCUCACAAAGCUGCAAAAAUGGCUCUUGAUCAUGCUGAGUCGCGCACAUGGUUACAGGAUGCGCCUCCUGACAUUGUACCUCUCUUGUAAUGUUAUGGUGUAAUCAAUGAAAAUUUUAUUGUAAAAAAAAAAAUCCUUUCAGAAAUUAAUAUAUACUAUUUUAAUGUGGAAAAUCCCUUCAGAAUUAGUUCGAUAAAUACAAUAUUCAUCCAGUUACCGCAGGCUAAUAAUGCUCAUCCUGGAUAACUCAUGUCGCUUUUUACAUAUGCUGUAAUCUAAUUGGUGUGAUUAUCUUUGUAGGCCUACCUUCUCACUUGGCCAGAAUCGAGGUUAUAUAUGGUCAUGCAAUUAUACAUGAAAAAAGAAUAUCUUUCCAGUAGUUCAUUUUCCCUUUCACAUAGAGCGUACUAAGGAUAUAUAUAUCGGAAACCUGAGAAAACUAAUGAGAUAUUUGAAGGUUAAAGGGGAAGCCGGCUCCGUUAUUAAAAGCAAACUUCUUUAUUUAUUUAUAGACUAGAGUCAAGGAGCUUCACCCGUUACACACUUGAAUCCUUUUUCUAGGCACCAUAAAGGAUCCCAACAAUUAUACAUUACAAGUCAUUACCUUUAUUUAUAGACCAGACACAAGGCGCUCUGCCCAUACAACAUACUUGGAACAUUUUUAAAGGCACACUAAAAGACCAUCCACAACAAAACAUUGAUUCGAUCAUUACACUGGAGGUCGCCUUUUCAUCGGAAAUUGAGAUUUACCUUACCAAGAGGUAAUAUCAACGUUACACAAAACAUGACAUAUAACCAUGUCUAACCUUAUAUCUAGAUUAGAUUACACAGUACACACCAGCUUAAUUAUCUUACAGUAGUAUUCAAUUGGAAUACAAAUGCCAAUACAUUUUACCAUCGAAAGUAUGAUCAGAAUCCAGAACAUUUCCAUGAGGUACCUCUAUAAGAUUAAUCUGCAAAACAAGAGAACCUCCUUCCUGCACAUGACGAUCUUUAUACAGUUCAUCUAAUUGAACCAUAGUUCUAAGGCCAUGAAUAGGACGAUUUUUAUCAAUAGGCCUAUAACCAUUAGUAUAACCAGAUGCAACAACAUCAAAAGAUACUUCAGCAUCCAUAUUAUUGGCGGCUGCAGGAGGCAGAUCUCCUCUCCAAGCAUCCUCGUUAGCUCUGGGAACAAAUAGGACGGCCCAGGAAACAAUAGGAGCCCAACUUCGACCAAACAAACCAAAAUCCAUCCUAUUCAAGUCCUUCAAAACACCAGGAUCUGCAUAACGCAGAAAAAAGUAGUCUGAUUUAAAACCUAUCAAUUUUCGCUGAUCACACGCCAUAUCUUCCGUGAUUAAUGAAAAAUAAGCGCUCAGAAUCAGAUCACUUGCCUCAGAAAUUAUUUUCGUUGCUCUGUCACUCUUUUUUCUGCUGCCGUCCAAAGACAUUUUCACGUCUAUUUAUGCAAGGGAGGAAUUCGAACACAAACAAAUCACAAAUAAUUAUUAAUUAAUUAUAAUAGGACUCUUAAUUAAUGCAUUCCAGCAUCUCCUUCUGCAACGUGUCUGGCGACGUGGUUUUGUCUUCGUCUGUGCUCCGCCUUUCAUUUCUUGGAUAUCUUCAUCAUAGGUAUUAGAGCCAAGUUAAGGUUAGGUAGAUGAUACAAGUCCUCUUCAAAAGGAUUUUGCUAGUAUUAGAGCCUAGUAAUGUAAGAUAUAAUCUCUCGUAAAAUUGUGGGCCUAAGUGGAACCUACAACUAAAUUUGUAUGAGACUGUACCUUACAUUACACGCUUCCUUUAACAAUUGACACAUGUUAAUUAAUGCAUUCCAGCAUCUCCUUCUGCAACGUGUCUGGCGACGUGGUUUUGUCUUCGUCUGUGCUCCGCCUUUCAUUUCUUGGAUAUCUUCAUCAUAGGUGUUAGAGCCAAGUUAAGGUUAGGUAGAUGAUACAAGUCCUCUUCAAAAUAGCUCUCUGUCACAAGUGGUUCCGGUACGUAGAUCCACGUCUUCUUUUGCAGCGUGGUUUGGCCUUUUCAGUUCUUCUCAUUCUUUGAUUUCUUCGAAUAGUUAUCUGCAUCGUGUUUACAGGUUAGGUAAGACUAAGGAUUGGGUUCUCACAGUUCUAAUAUUUUGAUUGGACCAUCCUGCAUCUAUCUCUUAUUUAGUUUAGCAUGACUUAUUUAACAUCAUAAAUAUUUCUUUAAUUUUAUAAUUUUUUAAAUAUUAAAUAAAUUAUUUUUUUAUUAGUAAAAUUUUAAAUUUUGAGUUUUUGAAAAUAGAUUGAAAAAUAUUUUUAAAAUAUUAAAAUAUUAAAAAUAUUAUUUAUUUAUUUAAUAAUUUUAUUUCAUUCAUUUUAUAACAUAAAUUUAAAAAAUUACCUAUUAAAAAAAAUUAUAAUUUCUUAAUAAAAACUCUUAUUGAUAGUCAAAUACCUUAAAGUUUUAGUAACAGUUUGCUUGUAAAAGAUUUAUUAACAAAAGUUAUGCCGAAAUAAAUUUUAUUUGAAAAAUUAUAUCAAGGCUUGAUUUGGUAUCAAAAGAAAAUUAUCAUACACUUAUAUUUUUAUAUUAUCAUUUAAAACUGAAGAGAAGAGUAAAGAAAGAUCAAACCAGAGUGAAGAAAGGUUAACAUAAAAUGAAAGAAAAGCCUCGGGCAUUAUACUAUGAUUUGGGAGAAUGAUGCGUUAUUUAGUUUUGGUGGGUGUAAAAGGAAAACGAAGCUUAAUAAUAUGAGCUUAAAACUCAAUUAAAAUGAGUUUAAUGAAGGGUAGUUUUAGCAUUUUAAAGUGCGAUCAUAGUUAAUUUUAAUUUUUGUAACUUAUUGAAUAAACUAUUUGCAAUGAAUUAAGAAAAGUAAUCAAUAACUAUAACAAUAAAAGUAAUGAUUACUGAAACGACCCAUCUCGAACUUCAAGAGCAAAUCUAUCUAAUUUCUUUUAACGUGAUUAGUAAAACUUAUUAAUAAGGAUUUUGCUAAAAUUUUCCAACAUGCAAAUCUUCAAAACAAACACUUUCAAAAUAAUUCAAUACACAACAAACUUCAUUGUUCAACCUUCUCAACCAUGAUAUUGAAUAUCACCUAAACACUUAUAAAGUAUCAAAAGAUUAUGUUAUAGCUAAUGUCAACAUAUAUUAAACAUUCAUAAUCAUCAAAUCAUAAUACAAUUAUACAAUCCAAAAUGAGAUGAUCUAAUUCCCUAAUAAUAUCAUUUAUAUCUUUUAGCACCAUCACGUGGCCAAAAUUCAAAAACACUACAGUCGUUGGGUCGAUUAAUGUAUCCACAACCUUCUGUGGGGGAAAAGUAUAGUAAAAUGGAAUGAAUAUAAAACUCAACGAGUGAAUAAUAACUUUUGAAAAUAAUAUAUUUUAAAAUAAUUAUAUCUUUUCAAUAUACUAUUUUCAUCAAACUAUAAGUAAGAACAUAGAUGAAUUAUUCGAACUUUAAAUCAAACAACUAUCGUUUUAAUUUUAAAGUGCGAUCGUAGUAAAUUUUUAUUUUUUUAAUUUAUUGAAUAAACUAUGUACAAUCAAUUAAGAAAAAUAAUCAAUAACUAUAACAAUGAAAGUAUUGAUUACUGCAACGACCCACCUCAAACUUCGAGGGCAAGUCUAUCUAAUUUCUUCUAACGUAAUUAGUAAAACUUAUUAAUGAGGAUUUUGCUAAAAGUUCGUCGACAGAGUGCCCCCCUAUAUUUAUAAAAUUUCUAACAUGCAAAUCUAAACGCUCCCAAAAUAAUUCAAUACACAACUAACUUCAUUGAUCAACCUCCUCAACCAUAAUACUGAAUAUCACCUAAACACUUCUAAAUUAUCAAAAGAUUAUAUUAGAGCUAAUGUCAACAUACAUUAAACAUUCAUAAUCAUCAAAUCAUAAUACAAUUAUACAAUCCAAAAUGAGAUGAUCUAAAUGCACUAAUAAUAUCAUCUAUAUCUCCUAGCACCAUCAUGUGGCCAAAAUUAAAAAAAAAAACAAAUACUACAAUCACUGGGUCGAUUGGUGUACCGUAACCUUCUUUAGGGGGAAAGUAUAAAAAAAUGAAAUGAGUAUAAAACUCAAUGAGUGGAUAAUAGUUUUUGAAAAUAACAUAUUUUAAAAUAAUUAUUUCUUUUCAAUACACCAUUUUCAUCAAACUAUAAGUAAGAACAUAGAUGAAUUAUUCGGACUUUAAAUCAAACAACUGUCGUUAAAAGAAUACAUGAUAUUAUACAUAAUAUACAAGGAAAUCAUAUCAAAAUAUAAUAUAAAAUACUUGAUUAUGAAAUUGUCACUAAAUAGUACCUAAGUAAAUAAUCUUGUCAUUCUCGCACCUCUUAUCGAUGGUGAAAUGACGUACUAUCUGAGUACUAUCAUGUCCGGAGCUAGAACGAGUAGACCAAUGGCAUGCUAUCUCAUAUAUCUCAUCAUAUCUCCUUAUAUUUCAUGUAAAAAACAAUCCCUACAGGACAAAAACACCCAAGCACACAACCCAAAAUCUUUGUGUAUAUUCAGACGGGACCCAAAGAUCUCUAGCUCAACUAUAAUCUCUACAACUGAAUCUAUAUCUCUGUAUCUCAAACUGUAUCUGGAGGGGAGGAGUAUUGUCAAAUGAUUUUAAAAACAAACUCUUAUACACUUGUAGAUAAACAUAUAAUCAUACUUUAAACUUCAUUUCCUUUUUCAUUAACAUACUGUAAAUCUAUUUUUCUUUUCUUUAAAAUACUCUUAUGCGUUUACUCAACAUAGAGAAGCAAAAGUAAUCAUCAAACACGUUUUAACAAUAUAUUAAUACAUAAAUAAAAAUCAUUUAUAAAACCAUUAAAUCAAAACAUUAAACUCUUGUUUCGUAUGCAUGCGUUACUUUACUUAAUUUAAAAAUCAUAAUAAAUUAUAAAAAUGGGUUUAGUAUAUUCCAUUUGCAAUGAUGAUGCUCAAGCUCAACUAUUAUCGACAUCCGCAGAUUGACUCACGUUUAUGGCUCCUCUAAAUUGUGGAACGACAUAAUUACUUUUUGAAUAUAUGAAAUACAACUAGCUUUAAGCAAGAUAGCUCUCAAUGAAUAUUUAUCCCACAAUGUACAACUCCCGAAACCAUACUUGUAAGAUAAAAAUGACCAUAAUAUACUCAAAGCCAUAAUUUACACCUUAUACAUAAAAUUCCAUACUCCUUAAAUUUUUCAUAUGUUAUAAUACUAAUAAAUCUUCCACAUUAUCAAAAAUCUCAUAAUUAACCAUAACCUACCUAAACAUGAUGCAUAACUAUAAGCUAUUUACAUACCGAAAUGAGGGAACGAUGAGGGCUACGCGUUUCUAGGUGUACAAUGCCUCAUUGGUGCCCUUGUGCAUCUAUAAUAAUCCACUAGUUACAAAAAUUAGCUUGGGACAAUUUUUACCCGUUUGUUAGAAACCUUAACUAUAAAUAAAGUAUACAAAUUUUUAAAUUAACUUCAUUCCCAUGAGAUCCAACUUCGAAUAAAGAUAACAUGAUAGAAAUAUUACUUCCUUUGGUGAGAAAAACCAACUUGGAAGCUUGAUUACUUCCUUCUCACUUAAAUCCCCUCUCUACACUUACAUUUAAAUUCCUCUUUAAUGGAUGUUUUCAAAAGAAUUUAGGGACGGAAACACUCUAGAAUAACUCUCCAUUCCAAGCUUUCCAAGAUCCAAACUCAAACUUUGAAAAAUUUCCCCAUUUUUCUCCUCUUUCCCAUUGCUCCUCUUCUCCUUUUCUUUUUUGCCUUUUUUUUUUUCAAAUCAAUACAUAUAAAAGCCAAUGGAGACUAACAGGCUUUCAAGUAAGGGUGGAUGUUCAGAUUGGUAUUUGUUUUAUUCUUUAUUAAUCUGGCCUGGAUUUGAGAUUCUGGAACUAUAAGUGGCUGGUUACUGGGAAAUUUUUCGAAAAUGAAAUUUUUGUAACCUAAAUUGGACCCAAACUGAAAUUGAGACCUAAAUUUUCAAACCGAACCAAUCCAAAGUGUGAUCCCAAAUAGAACCGAGUCGAACUAAAUUCGGUUCGGUUCUGUUUGGGUUCAUGUUUUGAACCUAAUUGGGUUGAAUACUCUAACCCGAUCAGGUUGUAACCUAACUGGAACUCAAACAACCCGAAUCGAAACCCGAUAUGCCCACCCCUAUUUUAAAGCCUACAGACCAAUGGAAGAAAUGGAAAGAAAAAAUAUGUUAUAGUUAUUAACUUGAUUCUUGGGUAUUAUAAUCUCAAUAUUUAACAUGAUGUUGUUUCUCAUAUUAGUUUCUAUCUUCUGUGUUGAGACCUAGAGUCUUAUUCAAGUUGGCAUCUUGUAAGGAUUGGCAUUCUUAUUGAAUUGUAAUUCAUAAAUUGAAGGCUAUGUUAAUUGGGAGAUUUCUUAAUUUAGUUAUUUUCUUAAAAUUAGGAUUUAAGUCUUUUCAUUUUAAGGAUUUACUUAGAACACAAAGAGUCUAAUUUUGGAAGCAAAUCAAAAUUUAAAAAAAAAAAAAAAGGCUCUCUAUAACUUGUUAUAGAAGUUAUUCAUUGAAGAUAGUUCAUCACAAGCAGAAAAAUAGAAUUUUAAGGUGGAUGAACAAUGCUAUAAAUAGUAUUAGAUGAACAAUAUUAGUUAAUAGUGUCUAUUGAAACUAUUCAUUGAACUUUAAUCUUUAUAGGGUACACGCUUAUUUAGUCUCUAUAUUUUCACUCAAAUAUAUGUUUAGUCUCACAUUAUAAAAUAUAUCUCAAAACACUCAUAUAGUUAAAUAUGUUACAUUCUUAACCUUUUUUGGUUUUAUGAUAACACCCUUCAAACAAUAUUCUUGACAUGAAUUAAGGUAUCUAUAAAAAAAAGUUAAUUAGCAUCUUAACCAAUAAUUAAUUAUUAGCAAAUUAAUUAACAAAUACCACUGUGAAAGAACUAAUAUUUUUAUACUCUUGCAACAAUCUUACUAAUAAUUAUUUAUAAAUAAAUUAAUAUUAGCCAACUUAAAACAAUGUUUAUUAAUAUCUUUACAACAAUUUUAAUAAUAUUUUUUUUAUAAAAAUUAAUUUACUAAAUUAAUUUUAAAAGAAAAAUAAUAAUAUAAAAGUUUGGGUAAAUUUUUAUGUUACUUUUAAGAUAAAUUUUGGUAAAUUAACAAUUUUUAUUGAUAUCCCAAGAAUAUUGUUGCAAGAGUGUUAUCAUAAAAAGAAAAAUAUUAAGGGUAGGAAUGAAACAUAUUUGACCUCAUGGGUGUCUUGAGAUGUGUCUCUCUGUGUGUAACACUUAAAUCAAAAUAUAGGGAUUAAAUAAGUAUUAACCUAUUUUAUAUUCAUCCCACUCUUAGACAUACUUUUGGUGCGUUUGUGAUUAAGGUUGAGCAGCUGUAGCUUUUAAGCUACAAUAGUAAAGUGUUUGGUAAACACUAGCUGUUGUACCUUGAAAGUUAUGUUAAUAUGAUUUUUCACUUGUAUAAUAAAAAAUCUAUUAUAUCUUUAAUGAUUUUGUCAAAAUUAUUAUUUAAAAUUUAUAUUUACUAUAUAUUAUUGAUUUUUGUUUUAUAGUUACAGUUUUUUUUCCACAGCAGUUGUAGCUUAAAAGUUAUAGUACCUCAAUCCCAAACAGGACCUUUGUUAAUUGGUCUCUCUUCGUUAAUUGGUCUCUUCCAAAAAAGAUGUUGUUUGGAGCAGUUAAGGAAUUUCAUAUCAAGGUUAUGAACAAGAAGACGAAUGGUUCUCGCAAAUUACAUAUGCCUUAGUUGACUGAGAUGGUGGCAAAAGUAAAUUUUCCUACAUAUUAAAAUACUAAAUGUGAUAUAAGAACCAACUAUAAGUAAGUUAAAUUGAUGAUUUGGUAUAAUUACAAUAAUUAUUAUUUUUAAUUGAUAUGUGGGUUGAAAUGGCUAUAUAAUCAUUCUUAAGUGCGAGCAUCCAUAUUUUUUUGGGAAAAGGACAAACACACCCCCAACGUUUAGGCAAAGGGAUAAAAAACCUCCUAACGUUUUAAAAAAGACAUUUACACCCCAACUUAUUAUAAUUUUACCAUUAUACCCUUCUAGCAUAUAAAAAAAUUAUUAGAUUAUCUAAUUUGUCUAUAUAUUGUUAAUAAAAUUAUAAAUAGAAAAAUUGGAUAUUAUAAAAAAAAUUAUAAAUAUACCCUCAUUGCCCAAUUCUUCUAUUUAAAUUUUUAUUAAUAACCAAUUUUCAAAAAAGACAUCUAUACACCUAAAAAAUUGUAAAUAAAUUAUAAUUUUAAAAAUAAAAUUGGUUAUUAAUAACCAAUUUUAUUUAAAAUUUAAACUUGUAUAUUUAACAAUUCUCCACAUGUCAAUCAUUUAAACCAGUACAUUUAUAACCAAUUUUCUAUGUUAUUUAUUAUGGUAUUAAUAACCAAUUUUAUUUUUAAAAUUAUAAUUUAUUUACAAAUUUUUUUUAAGUGUGUAGAUGUCUUUUUUGACAAUUGGUUAUUGAUAAAAAUUUAAAUAGAGGAAUGAGGUAAUGAGGGUAUAUUUAUAAUUUUAUUAACAAUAUAUAGAUAAAUUUGAUAAUCUAAUAAUUUUUUUUAUAUGCUAGAAGAGUAUAAUGGUAAAAUUAUAAGAAAUUGGGGGUGUAAAUAUCUUUUUCAAAACGUUAGGGGGACUUUUGUCCCUUUACCUAAACGUUGGGAGUGUGUUUGUCCUUUUCCCUAUUUUUUUAAUACCGAUUCGCUCUUAAACUGUAUAAUUAAAAAAGAUAAAUUUUAAAAUAAAUUAUAAUACUGUCCUAUUUAAAAGAGUUAAAAACUAACUCUCUUUAAUUUCACAGCUUAAAAACAUAGCCAAAAAGAAAUUUUAGGGUGCCGGCAUUGAAAAAAGACACACAUAAUGCUUAUCAAAUCUAAGAUUAAAAUUCGGAAUUAAAAUUUGAGACGGAUAAAAAAUAUCGUAAAAGUAAUUUAGGAUGCCAUAAAUUCAUACUGGUGUCUAAUUCUAAACUUUAUCUCCAGAUUUCAAACAUUCAUCGCUUUGUGGCCCCUAUUUUCUUUAUUUUUCUAACUUUCUUCCGGUGGCGGAGCCCACCAUUGGAAGAGUUAAUAUUUUUUUUUGACAUUUUUUUCAUUGUCUAGCCCACCACCUUGUUUGACUCUUCUCUGGAAAAAGUUGCUUCUCUAUAUUUUUUUUCAGAACUUGACUAGCUUACAGAAUCUGUAAGCUACAGACUGCAGCAUCAGCCGUUGGAUGUGGAGUGAGAAACUAAACAAUAGAAGAUCGGACGGUGGGAUGACGGGAGAUGUUAGACAGGUCCUUUUUUUCAAUGCCGAACCUGCCGAGCCCACCAACCUGUUCUCAUUUUUUUUUUUUUUUUUUUCGCAAACCCUUACAUACAUUUUAUAUAUCUUACACCAAACAAUGAAUGGACGCCACACUACUCACUGUGUGAGUGGUUGUAAUAUAUAUUAAGGCCAUAUUUGCUUGGGGGUUGAGAAGUGAGGAGAGGAAAAGAAUUUAAUUUCUUUUAUACUUUUCAUUGUUUGGUUAGACUAAAUUUAAUGGAAUUGAAUUUUCAUUGAAAUUUAAUUUCCAUCAAUUUGAAAAAUUUGUAUUCCUUAUCAAUGACUAAGGAUUUCAAAUUUCUUAUCUAUUUAAACACAAAAAUUCUAAUAUUAUCCUCUAAACAAAAUCAAUUUUAAAUAAAUGAAAGUAUAAAUAAUUUAUAUUUAUUUUAUUAAAUUAAUAGGAUAAAAUUAUUUGAUAAAAAAAAAAAUAGUAAAGUGACUCGCCGGAAAGUCACCGAAGACUCGCUGGAGUUUCGCCGGAGAUGCGUUUUUCCAUCAAAACCGGUACCAAUAGAAUCCUCAUGAGCCGAUCUACAACUUUAUGGGGUUAGAAAUGCUAAUAUACAUUGUUAUUUACCUCAAGUCUUGUUUAAAUACUUGAGAAAAUUUUAACUCAACUAUAUAGUGUAUUUUCUUCAAAAUUAACAUUUAAAAUGAGUAAAUCGUCCAUUUUUUUAAUAAUUAUUAUGCAUUUAACGCGAUGAAAAAUGGUAGUCAACGAUGGUUAACGGCGCCGGUCAAUGACGAUCAACAGAGGUCAAUGCGGCAGCUGUUCAUGGCCAAAUGCUGUAAUUUUUAAAAAAUAAAUUUUUUAUUAAAUUAAGUAAUUUUUAGAUUAAAUUAAUUCAUAGUUUUAUUAUGUUUUAAUUUAUUAACAAUAUUAACAUUAAAGAUAGUGGGUAUAUUUGUCCAAAUAAAAAAUAUGUAAUUUCUUUUCCUUUCAAAUUUUAUGUAAAACCAAAUAAUAACAAUUAAUUUUUGCACUAUUUUCCUCUUAUCUCCUCUCCAUUUCUCUCCUUUUUUUCUCCUUUCGUCUCCUCCCUUUCUUAAAACCAAACACCACAUAAAUGUAUGUUAGAGGAAUCCUUUUCAUUUUAUUCAGGCUUUGAUUUCCUUUCAUCGGCGGGGUGGGUACUUUUAAAAAGAAAAUUAUACUUUAAAAAUAUUUUCAUCAUUUAUUUUUAAUUAAAUAUUAUAUUAUCAAAUUACUCUUUAUGAAAUUUACCGUUAUAGACAAUCAUAGUUACUAGAUACAAUUUUAUAAUUGUGUCAAAAAAAUCGUUUUUUAAUUUUUUUUUCAUUUUAAUUUUCUCCUCGACUUCACUGGUAAAUAUUUACUCUAAAAAAGAGUGGCUGUUAAAACAAAAAUAAAUAAAUAAUUGGGCAUUGGUUUGGAUAAGAUGGACAACAUUUAUUGGGACUCUAUAUCAUUGGGCGGUAGAACUUGGAGGUUGGACCGUUGCGCUUUUAAUAAAUUAAUUUGUAAGCAAUUUUUUUUUUAUUCGUUAAUAUAUUACAAUUAGAGCUCUACUGAUAUAAUCAGACGUCAAUAGGGUACUCUCCUCAAUAAUUCUAUUGUAGCACAGCUCAAAUAUCAACUCUUCGCUUAAAACUGAAGGGAGAUCUACCAUCACUAUUAAUACCGGAGGGGAAUCAAUUCUACCCCAAUGUCCAAGUUCUCAAUAAUUUUAGUGUGAACAAAAGUUCAGUUCAUGACCAUGAAAUUAAUCGGAGUUGUUCCGAUGGUUACUGCAAGAGUGUUGAUGUUUGAAGAAAGAGAGCUUGGGCAAAAUAAACUAAUUUUAGGGUAACUUUGGGAUUUUGAUGAGCGUGAUAGUAAAAAAUUAUAUUUUAAAUUUGACAGUGUAUUGAGUAAAUGAGUGUCCAAAAUAUUAUUUAGAGUAUAAAUAAUCUCACCUAAAAAAAUUAUUUACUUUAAUAAAGACACAAUAAUUUACGUGAUUUGACUUAAAAUCUACAUUUACGAGCAAAAGUUAAAAAUAACUUCAUUAAUAAAUAAAAAUUUACCAAAUUAAGAAAAAAUACCCUCAAAACUCAAAAUCCCAAUAUACCCAAUUAAACCAUUAGUAGAACACUCAAAUAAAAACUCUAUUCAAUUUCUCAAAUUACUUCCCUUAUAAUUACUUUCAACUUUCACACUUUAGGAUGAUCUUUAAAUGACAAACUGCCGCUCUGUCUAUGCCUCUAUGGGAGUGCGUGGCUCAACUAUUUCUCUCAAUUUUGGUAAUUUGUCAACUUGUUUAGUCCACCGAAUUCGGAACCCAAUCUUGUGCCGCCAUUUCUUAAAAAGCUCUCCAAAUGCAUUAAAGUGUCAAGUAUUUCAAUAACCAACUCUCUACAUUUGUUGGCAAUUUUAAAUGUAUUUAAUUCACUUUUUUUGACUUUUCAACACACAGGAUGUGGAGAAAAAUAAUUAUGUUUUCGUUCUAUUUUUUUCAAUAGUUAGUAUGAUAAUCAGCCAAAUAUAUACAACAUACCAUUCUAUAACUCUGAUACUUUAUAAUAUAUACCAAUCAAGCCCUAAGUCUAAGACUGUCUCAUAAAACUAUUAAAAAUUUUGAACCUAAUACUUCAACGCAUCACUAAAAGGUUUUUUAAAUUAGAUUUUAUUACUUAUUAACGAGUCAUAUCAAUCAAUAAAUUUUAAAAGACUUUUUAAGUGAGUUUUUUUUUUUUUAUUGAAGAGAGAAAAAAGUACUAUCUCAUUUGAAGGGUUUUUUAAAACCUUAAAUUUAUUCUACUCUUUCUCAUAAUUUCAUGAAGAGAAAGAAGUAUCAUAUUUGCUAUUGAUUUUGUAGAGAAUUUUUUUUGAUUAAAAUAAUAUAUUUAUACUUUUAUUUAAAGAAUCUUUUAAUUUUUUUCCACUCUUUCAUUUACAAUAUAUAGAAGUAAAUAAAUAUUUAAAAAAAAUUAAAUUUAGAAGAAUAUUUUAGUGAUCUUCUUAGAUCUACUGAGUGUCUGUUUGGUAUAAUUUAUGUAAUGCUCAUAAGUAUUUAUUUAAUCUCAAAAAUUCUUAUCAUAAUUUUUAUUACUAUUUAUUUUUUUUAGAGAUUUUAUAGUUUAAAUAAGUUAUUUUAUUUGUACUAGUAAAAUCUCAAAUUAGGAGUAGAGAUUGAAAUUUUUUUAAAUAUUAAAAUAUUUAAAAUAUUAUCUACUUAUUUGACUUUUUUUCAUAACAUAACUUUAAAAACUUACCGAUUAAAAUAAUUUCAUAAAUUUUUAAUAAAAAUUCUUAUUAACAAUCAACAACUAAAAUUUUGUAAGUAAAAAUUUUAUUUAUAAAAAUUUUGUUAUCAAAAACUCUAUUUAAAUAAAUUUUAUUUAAAAAAUUAUAUUAAACGGAGCCUUACCCUCGCGAAUCGCGAUACCAUAACUAUUUUAAAGAAAUCGAAGAAUAGAAAGAAUUGAAAAGGCAAAACCGCGUUGUAAAAGAGGACGUGAAUCAACGUACCGAGGCCACUAAUGACAAAUAGCUACACCUUUUGAAGUAGACUCCCAGUGUCUACCUAACCUAAACGGGUACAGUGACCUUUUAUUUUUUUUGACAAUAGAUACAGCUACGUAUGACUGAAGAAAUAAAAAAAAUAUGAAAAGCAUAGGGUAGAAGAAAACAAAGCUACCCAUUGGCUUCGUGUUGCAACUCUGCAACAGAAUGUCAAAUCGACAAUGAUAUUUCUUUGUCCAUUUUCACGUGCACAACCAUAAAAAAGAAAAAAAAUAUCACAAUUGUAUGUAUAUGCUGGUGGGUCCUUUUUCAAAUUUGACAAGAGGAUUUUAAUUUCUUAUGAAAUUUGUGUUACUUCAAAUCAUUUUAUAGAAAUUAGGGAUGGCAAUGGGAAGGGGAGGGGAGGGGACCAAUCUCAUCGUACCUAUUCCCGAUAUUUUACGUAUGUCACCGUUUCCUCCCCAUCCCCAUCAUAAUUACUUGAGAGAAUCUUUUUUCCUUCCCCGAAUAAUAACAGUGGAUUCUCGAGGGUCUCCGAUCCCCGUAUAACUAAUACAUUUUUUUUUUAUUUUUAGUUAAUUAUAUUAAAAUAAAAAAUUCAAACAAAAGUAAAGUUCGAAAUAUAUUUUACAUUAACAUUGAUCCAUUAUAAAAGUCACAUGCAAAAUACAAAUUAUCAAAAUAAUUAUCUUUGUCAAUCUUCAUAAUCCUACAAUAAAAAGAAAAAAAAUUUACUUUUAUAUCGACAAUAAAUAAAUGAAAUAAAUAUAGAUACUUAAUUAAUAUUUUUAAUAAAAUAAAAUUAAAAUUAAAACAAAAUUUUUGGGCUAAUAGAAUCUACCCGACCUUUUUAAUGUCUUAAAUAAAAAUUUAAGACUUUAAUUAGUUAAUUAGGCCUAGAAGUUUAAUAAUAUAAAUAUUUUAAUAUUUGUUACUUUUACCAAUAGUUAUAAUUUUAUAAUAUAAUUUAAAUUUUAUUAUUUAUUUACUAGUAAUUUUAAAAAAUAAAAAUAAAAUUAAAAGUUAAAAUGGGGAGAUGGGGAGGGGAUGGGGAUUCCACCUCAUCUCCGCCCCUUCCCCGAAUAAGAAACUGGGUAAAAAAAAUUUCCCAUCCCUUCCCCGAAUAAAAAAUUGGGUAUAAAAUUAUCCUCCCCGAAUAAAAAAUUGGGUAUAAAAUUAUCCUCAUACUCUCCCCAAAUGAGAAAAAUUCCCGAGAAUACCUCUCCCCGAAUGAGAAAUUGGGUAUAGAAUUUAUUCUACUUUUUCUCAUAAUUUCAUGAAGAGAAAGAAGUAUCAUAUUUGCUAUUGUUUUUGUCGAGAAAUUUUUUUGAUUAAAAUAAUAUAUUUAUACUUUUAUUUAAAGAAUCUUUUAAUUUUUUUCCACUCUUUCAUUUACAAUAUAUAAAAGUAAAUAAAUAUUUAAAGAAUUAAAUUUAGAAGAAUAUUUUAGUGAUCCUGUUAGAUUUAUUUAGUGUCUGUUUGGUAUAAUUUAUGUAAUGCUCAUAAGUAUUUAUUUAAUCUCAUAAAUUCUUAUCAUAAUUUUUGUUACUGUUUAUUUUUUUUAGAGAUUUUACAGUUUAAAUAAGUUAUUUUAUUUGUACUAGUAAAAUCUCAAAUUAGGAGUAGAGAUUGAAAUUUUUUUAAAUAUUAAAAUAUUUAAAAUAUUCUCUACUUAUUUGACUUUUUUUCAUAACAUAAUUUUAAAAACUUACCGAUUAAAAUAAUUUCAUAAAUUUUUAAUAAAAAUUCUUAUUAACAAUUAACAAUUAAAAUUUUAUUUAUAAAAAUUUUGUUAUCAAAAACUCUAUUUAAAUAAAUUUUAUUUAAAAAAUUAUAUUAAACGGAGCCUUAUCUCGCAAAUCAUGAUACCAUAACUACUUUGAAGAAAUAGGAGAAUGGAAAGAAUUAAAAAGACAAAAUCACGUUGUAAAAGAGAACGUGGAUCAACGUACUAGAGUCAUUAAUGACAAAUAAUUACACAUUUUGAAUUAGACUCCCAGCGUGACAGCGCUACCACUCUACCUAACCUAAAGGAGUACAAAAACCUUUUGUUUUUUUUGACAAUAGGUGCAGAUACGUACGAAUGCAUUAAUUAAUGAACAGCAGAGGGUAGAAGAAAACAAAGCUACGUCGCCAGACACGUUGCAGAAGGGAUUCUGGAAUGCAUUAAUUAAGGGGCCUUAAGUAUUCAAUAGUCCAAGAAAUGAGAAGGCAGAGCGUCGAAGAAAACAAAGCCACGUCGCCAGACACGUUGCAGAAGGGAUUAUGGAAUGCAUUAAUUAAGGGGUCUUAAAUAUUAAGUAGUGACAUCUUUUUUGUGUUUUUCCAUAAGAAGAUGCUGGAAUGCAUUAAUUAAGAGGCCCACUGUGAUUAAUUCAUAACUACUAGUAAUUUGUUUGUAUUCGAGUUGCUCCUUUGUAUAACUAGACGUGAAAAUGAGUGUUUGGUGGGGUGGUGGAGUCGAGGGUGCUAAGAGCAACAAAAAUAAAUUCUGAAGCAAUUGUUCUGACUCUUGAGUGCUUAUAUUUAUUUCAUUAAUCUCGGAAGAUAUGGCGUCUCAUAAGGUGCCUGGUAAUCGCAAAUUGAUAGGUUCCAAAUCAGAAUACUAUUUUAUGCUUUAUGCAGGUACUGAAGAAGUGAAGAGCUACGACCGGAUUGAUUUUGGUAUGUUUGGUCGGAGUUGGGCUCCCAUUGUUUCUUGGGCCGUGAUAGUUGUUCCCCACGAGCCGGAGAGUAAUUGGAGAAAAAAUUUACCUAAUCCAAGUGUCAAUAAUAUGGACCCCGCUAGCUCGCUUUGUGUUAUUGCAUCUGGUUCUUCUAAUGGUUAUAAGCCUAUAGGUGAUGAUAAAAAUGAUCGUCCUUUUCAUGGCGUUAGAACUACAGUUCCAUUGAACAAAUUGAAAUAUGAUCGUGAAGUGUUGCGCGGAGGUUCUCUUAUUUUGGAGAUUAAUCUUUUAGAGGUUUUUCACGGAGGAGAUGUCGUGGAUUCUGAUCAUACUUUUGAUGGUCAAGUGUUUUGGAACUUGUACUCGAAUUGAAUAUUGUGCGGUGAGAUAAGUUGAUGUGUGUAUUAAUGGUAUUAUCUAAUAUAAACAUAGGAUUGGACAUAUAGUUGUGUCAAUGUAUUGUGUAAUUUAACUACCUCUAGAUAAUAUUAUCGUUUGUGUAAUGAUUGUAAUUGAUGUUUUGUUGGAGGAUCCUUUAGUGUGCUUAUAAAAAGGAUUCAAGUGUGUUGUAACGAGCAGAGCUCUUCUAAGUCUAGUCCAUAAAUAAAUAAAAGAGUUGACUAUAAUGUAAUAUUGUGGGGUCUUCUACUGUGUCUAUAAAAGGAUCCAAGUGUGUUGUAAUAUGAGUAGAGAUUCAUGAAUUUAGUCUAUAAAUAAAUUAAACAAGUGUUUUAUAUAGUUUUUUAUGAACAUGUAUGGUCUCAUUUCCUUCAUAAAGCAAUGUAUAGACGUAGAGAUUCAUGAAUUUAGUCUAUAAAUAAAUUAAACAAGUGUUUUAUAUAGUCCUUUUAUGAACAUGUAUGGUCUCAUUUCCUUCAUAAAGCAAUGUAUAGCCGUUGUGACAAAAUCUUAUUACUCAAGUUUACUCAUGAAUCCUUUACACAAAUGUUACAAAUGUAUAAUAACAAAAUUGAAA
rnacentral:lncRNA from 1 species